rnacentral:lncRNA from 1 species
AAAGAAACGUUUCUACACUUACGAAGGCGAUAUCCUUCGUUACAUGUCUGUUAUGGAUCUUUCUUGUAACAGAUUCACUGGAGAAAUCCCGACAAAAUGGGGAAACUUAAGUGGGAUAUAUUCUCUAAAUCUGUCACAAAAUAAUCUCACUGGAUUGAUCCCUUCAUCUUCUCAAUCUGAAGCAGAUAGAGAGCUUGGAUCUUUCUCACAACAAAACUUGAAUGGGAGAAUUCCUGCACAACUCGUUGAACUGACCUUUCUAGAAGUUUUCAACGUGUCGUACAAUAAUUUGUCAGGAAGAACACCGGAGAUGAAAAAUCAAUUUGUACCUUUGAUGAGAGCAGUUAUAAAGGGAAUCCUCUUCUUUGUGGACCUCCAUUGCAAAACAGUUGCGACAAAACAGAAUCACCAUCAGCGAGAGUGCCUAACGAUUUCAAUGGAGAUGAUGGCUUCAUAGACAUGGACAGUUUCUAUGCCAGCUUUGGUGUGUUUACAUAACUGUGGUGUUGACAAUUGCAGCAGUACUGUGCAUAAAUCCGCAUUGGCGACGCAGGUGGUUUUACUUCAUUGAAGAAUGCAUUGACACUUGCUACUGCUUUUGGCUAUAAACUUUCGCAAGUUGUCCAGAUUCAGAAGGUGAUUGGUCUUAUCAUGAGCGUGUGGGCUGCUUUCUGAAUUUUUUGUAAUCCUCUGUGGAGAAGAAGUUGCAUUCCAAAUCAAUGGUUGCUCACUACAUGUUUAGCAAUUUUCCUGUGAGAAGUGUUCUGUCGAAGUGUUUGGUUCUUGUUGCUUAGCCUUUAUGUUUUGACAUGACUUGUGUUUGUCCUUGUGCUUGUAUCCAUAUUUGUUUGUUUCGUUGUUAUGUCUUUAUUAUGUUGCGUUUUGGUCUUAGAUAAGCAACCAACCAAUAUUUCUUGGUUUCUUGUGAUUUCUAUAUCCCUAAUAAUAUGGAAUUUAUUCACAAUUGUAAUAGUUUACAGUAUCAUAUUUUCUCAAUUAAAAAAAUAAUUGAUAGAACUAAAGGAUCAUACCAGCAAGGUGGAAUGUGGUAAAGCAAUAAUUUUGUUUGCUGAAAGAACAUAAGUCUAAACUUAAAACAAGGAAAUAUUUAUUGAAUAAUCAGUAUUUAUCUAUUUUGGCAAUUUUCUCAGCCCUAGCUAUUUAAGCCUUACUUGUGGGCUAUUUUGAACAUCAAGAGUUUAUUUCAGAUUUUUCUCUCCUGUUGGGUCUCUUUCAAGCCCGUUUUGCACUUAAUUUUGAAUUCUUUUAAUUAAAUCGGUUUUAAACUCUUAUAUCAACAAUUGGAGGAUUGUUUUAAGAUUAGAUUAUUUAAUUGUAAUUUUUCUGAAAAAUACAAGAGUUUUUUUUCUUUAUUCGUCUAUAAUGUCAAGGCUAUAAGAGAACCCUAAUUCAUUCAUGCCUCAUGAAAUUCAAUUUGGCCAGUGGUGGUAUAAGGAAACAAAAAGGUUGUUAGAAAAAUUAAGAAUUUUGAAUGUUUCAUUUUAAAAUGGUGACUACUUUUUAAUUUCAGAAUUCCAGAUUGUUAAAUCUUCUAUUACUUGUUUGCCUCUUAUGAUUUCUACUGUUGUGAUAGUCAAGCUUGAUGAUAUAAAUUACCUAUUCCAGUCUUAUACUUGGCUCCUCCAAGCAUGCAAUUGAAGGAGAAUAUAAAGAUAUCAAAGGCUCUAGUCCUGCCACAUAUCAAAAGAUUAGAGAAUAAAAUAGUUAGAAUGUUGUUAGUAACUGUUAGCCUUAUUUGUUAGUUAAGAGAAUCAGUUAGUAUUAUUUAGUGAAGAAUAGAUAACGUGAAAGGAAAACAGACAAGAAAAACAAAAAGGAACAGCAAAGAAAAGAAAAGGAAAAACAGCAAACGAAAAAAACAAAGAAGGAGAGAAGAAAAGUAGUCUUUCUCUCUCUAUUUAUCUUUCUAUUAGUUGCAUCACCAUCGCCAUUCUUCCUCCUCACCGCCACCAACAUCACCAUAAGCCAUCGUAGGUCCGCUUCCCCCUCUCUUUCUUCUUCUUCUCCCCCACCCCGAUCUUCAUUGUUCUACUAAUGAAUAGUGAAGGGUGAAUUAUAAUUCACGCUCCACGUGGAGAGCCAUUAUUUCUAGGUCGGACCAAUACCUGCCUAGACCAAAACAUUAGGGUCGGGUCCAACUUAAUUCCCCUUAGUAUAGAGUACAUUGGGCUGAAAUUGGCCCCACUCCUAAUUCGGGCCGAUAUUGGCCCAACUCUACUAGGCUAAUCUCAGCCCAAUCGCUUUUUAGGUCAACUUUGUGCUAAUUCCUUUUAAAUCAAACUCGGCCUAACUAGGGUGGGCUCAGCCCACAUAACUGGGCUAAGCCCAUCCUAAUAUAUUUUAAUAUAUAAUUAUAAUUAUAAUUAUAUAUAAAAAACAACAAAAAAAAUCCAAAAAUCCUUUUAAAAAAAUUUGUGAUUUUCUCAUGUAUUUUUCUACCAUUUUGUAUUAAUAUAGGUUUAUAUUUUUAUACUAUAAAGAUACAAAUCCAAUAUUAAAAUAUCUAGUUUUCUCUGAAAUAUUGCAAAAAUAUAUAUAUAGAGAAAAAAAAAUAUCUUGUUUUCAUGCAUACAGUUAAGUCUCUUAAGCUUAUAAGAAAUUUUCAUAUCAUAUUUUCAUACAACAAAAAAUUCAAAAAAUAUGUAUUAACAUGCACUUUGAAUUUUAAAAAUCAGUUUAUUAAAGUCAUGAGAACUAGACCAAUAUUUUAAAAAUACCAAAAAACAUUAUUUUGUUUUCUUUUAAUAUUUGAGAUUUUAAACAUAUACGUAAGACAUAUUCUUAAAAUUAAAUAAAAAGUAGUUUUUUUUUUUUUUUUACGUUAGAAUAGUUAGGUUUUAUCUGAUAAGAUAAUGAUCUCCUUAUUGAAAAGGAUUUUUCUUAAACCUUUGACAGACCAACAAUUAGAAAGCACAACAACACCUUAGUAUACAUUAAACAAUAAGCAAUGCAGCUUACCUUAGAUAGAGUGUAUUAGGGGUGAUAAUAUCUUUAUUUUAAGCAACCAGUCCUCGUGUUCGAUCUCUGAAACCAGUUAUUGUUAAUAGUGACAAAAAUACCAAAUGGUGAUUUUCAUUCCCUCUCUCCACUAAUAAAAGAUAAAAAAUCAUUUUCUACCCCAUUUCCCGAUACCACCCAAGAGCACAAUCACGGGCGACACUUUGGAUAGGUUGAUUAACUUGUUGCUUAUUUAUCACGCUAUGUCAUGUAGCUUUUAGUUAUUAUUUUGAAUUCUAAAAUAUAAAGACAGACUUUUUGUAGACAUGGUUUUAGAGUUGAAUUUUCCAGCGUUGACUUUUUAUUUUACGUCUCUCUCUCUCUCUCUCUCUCUCUCUCUCUCUCAUACUUGUCACUUAUGUCCUAAAUUGUUAACCAAACACAAUCUACUAUCAAAUUUAAUAGUUUUACUGAUUAAUUUUUUUUUCAGUAUUUACACUUAUAAUUUGUCGGUGUGUAUAUUACCAAUGGGCUAAUGGAUGGAAACAAUCUGUCAGAAAAAAUCUCAUUUGUAAUUUAUUGUUUGUCAAUAAUAAAUAUAUUGAUGAAUUUACAGACGACAAAAACACGUAAAAAAAAUUAUUCACUACAUUCUGUUGAUAUCUUUAUCGGUAAAUUUAACAUAUCAUCGACAGGAAAAUCGUAUGUAAUGUCAUCAGUGUUUAUAUUUAUCCAUCGAUAAAUAUAACAUAUCACCAACAGAAUACCAUCUGUAAUUCUAUCAGUGAGUUAACCGUCGAAGUGAUAUUUGCAGUAAUUAUUUUCCAACUCUCUCUAAAUAUACAGACGGAGUUGUUCCUUCAGUAACCCCGUCAGUGGUAUUUAAUAUAUAUAUAUAUAUAUAUAUAACUAGAAAAAUAUUUAAAAUAAUAUAAAAAUCAAAUAUGUAUUACAAAUUUAAAUAUUUGUACGUUCAAAUACAAUAAAUCUAAAAUAGAGGCAGUAUUGGAGGAGAAGGAGGCUAGUUGUUGUCGGGAUCGUGAGGCAAAUUAGAAGGUGUGCAUGUACCACCUAUCUGUGAUAUCAUCUUCAUUACCAAUAAAAGAAGUUCUUUAUAAUUAGCAAUGAGUCAUUCAUAUUUUUUUAUUAAGAUGAGUUAUUUGAGCAUAUAUUCGUUGGUAUAACAUCACAACGAGCUUGAGAGUUUGAGUGGUCAGAAUUGAAUGUGAGCAUCCAACGAUCAAAACAUUAUGGGUCGUCUACAAGUUAUUAGUCGUAAUGUUAAAAAGUUCAUACACCUAAUUUAUAUCGGAUCCACCAAACAAUCCUGCUUAUAACCACAAAUCCAGAUCAAGAUUUGGAUGGGUCGAAGGAUCAUCCUUGUAUCUCUUCUUCAACUAACUGUUAUACGUAUUCUGGAAAGAAAAAAAAAAUUCAUCAAAUUCAAGGAAAUAUUAAAAAUAAGUUUGAGUUAAACCAAUAUUUUGUUGUUUAUUUAGUUUACAUAAUUAAUUAAUACAUGUUGUCAUCAAUAUUCUAUAUAGGUUUGACAUAAGUAAUGGAUGAUUAUUUAUGGAUGUAUCAAGAUUCACCGAAACGGUUGCGUAGGAUGGAUUGUUGUAAUAAAGUUCAGGGUUUUAUUAAUUAUGCACUAUUUAAUUCGAGAAAUAUUAAUGAAAGCAAUAUUAGAUGUCCAUGUAUGAGAUGUAAAAAUGAAAAGUUUCUUGAUUCAGAUAUUGUAACGAUGCAUCUUCUACAAAAAAGGUUCGUGAAGAGAUAUUUGUGUUGGUUUGCAUACAAAGAACCAUAUGUUCCUCAUGAGACCAUUAUAGAAAGAAUGAUUGGGUCAACUUAUAGUUCUAGCAACGUGCAUGAAAUUAUAUAUAACAAUAGUAAUCCUUAUAGGACUUUGGUUAAAGAUACGAUGAAAAUAAAUCAGGGUUAUGCUAGUAAAUGUUCAAUCAUAAAUGAAGAACAUAACACAAACACGACCAGUUUUUUUUUUUUUUAUCUUUUGAAAGACUUUGACGAUACUUUGGGAUUUAAAGAAAUUGACAAACUCAUCAGCCUAGGAUACCAUAAAAUUGACAUGUGUCCAAACUUUUACAUAUUGUAUUACCUUGAAAAUGUAGAGUUGAUCAAGUGCAAAACAUGUGGGCAUGCUCAUUAUAAAUCUAGAACUGGUAGGGAAGGACUUUUAUCGCACAUAGAAAACUUAGAUACUUCUUAAUCACACCUAGACUACAAGGGUUAUUCAUGUCACCAAAAAUUAUUGAGCACAUGACAUGGUAUCAUUCACAUGAUGCAGUGGAUGAAGUAAUAGUGCAUCAUUCUGAUGGUGAAGCCUGAAAACAUUUUAAUAUGGUGCAUCUUUAGUUUUCAAUGGAAUAAAUGAACGUGCUUCUUGGGUUAUGUACAAAUGGAUUCAAUCCAUUCAAAUCAUUUGCUACUUCUUCUUUUUUUAAUCAAAUGUAAGAAUAUAUUGAGAUCAAAGGAACAAAGCCACAAAAAUAGGAAAACACAAAAUAUAUAUACAGUGAUGAGGGUAACCAAUACCCUGAACUAAAAUGGGAACAUGCUCCCAUUGAAAAGAACAUAAAAUAAACAACUCCAAGGCUAGAAGUAGCCACACAGAAGACAAAAAAAAAGAGUGGUAAAAUUGAGCAUAACCAGCCAAUCCGAUGUACUGCCAGCCAAGCCAACUUACUGCCACCCAAGCCAAGACAAGCUGCCGAAAGCCAAUAGAACAUCCAGCUGCUCCUUUUCCAUGCAGGACCAAGGCGGCAACAUAUACCCCACAACCAAAACAGCAUCACAGCAGCCCUUAUUCCAUCCAUGAGCCUUAUCAUGCAGGGACGUGAAAAGCCAUGGCCAAUAGCAGCCUCCUAGAAAAACAGCCAAGACAACUUUAAAAAUCCAUACAUUAAAUAAUCAAUGCAGGUCGAGGAUCCAAGCAAUCAUUUGCUACUUCUUAUUUUUAUUGGUUGGUGAUACUCCUGGUUUACAAUUUUCCAUUGGGGAUGUGUAUGAGGUCGGAGUUCAUAUUUUUAUCUAUAUCAUAUUUGAUCCUAAUAAUCUGUGUCGGAAUAUAGAUGUUUGUCUUCGUCCACUUAUUAAUGAGUUGAACUAGUUGUGGUCGUUCAGGGCUUUGAUAUAUAAUGUAUUGAGAAAACAAAAUUUUUAGACAAAGGCACUUUCUUGUGGAGAAUCAAUGAUUUUUCUAUGUAUGGAAUGGUUUCUGGUUAAAACACAUGAAAAACUACAUGUCCAUAUUGUAUGGAAAAUAAUAAGGACCUUCAUGUUAACAAAUAGUGGUGAUUUUGAUGUUUUUAAGCUAAGAAAAAAUGUCUAAAAAUUGUUUAGGUUACUGAAGAAAUUGAUCAAACUUUCUUUAUGGGCUGACAAAAAAUAAUUCUUUAUAGGUCAAAGAUUUAUUUUAUAAUAAACUCAAUUCCAAAUCUAUAAUAGGUUAGCGAGUUUGGAGCCUAUGCCCAAGUAAAGUUAAGCACGCGUGUGGGAUAGAGGAUUUUGGGUUUCGUAAAAACAUUUAAACUAAGAGGUUUUUUAAAUUAAUUUUUUAUUUAUUCACAAUUUAAUUACUUUAAUCAUAUUAAUGUUUCAUGUUAAUAAACAUUUAAUAAUUUCCAACAAAGUUUUUACUCCAAAAGUGAAUGAAUUUCAUUUUAAAUUUAGCCCCAAAUGUAUCAAUUGAACAUGUUUUAUUAAAACAAUUCCUACACUAUCAUCCUUAAACUACUAGUUAUGAUGAAAACAUUGGAUUAUCAUUACAUAGCCGUGUGCUUACCACUACUAAAACAUGUGCUGAUUAUGAUUAUAUCUCAACACAAUACUUUUAUCAUAAAAAAAAAAAAACAGAGAAGAAUAUUGUGUCAUUUCUGUUGUAACCCAUUUUUGGGUCCCCAUGAAAAAUAAAAUAAAUAGCCAAAAGAGUUUAGAAAAAAUAGCAGGAGGCAGAAACGCUCAGAAAACAGUCAGAAAAUUGGUCAAGGAAUUUAAAAAUACAAGGAUUGAAUUUUUAACAAUAUAUUCUUGAAGGAUGAAAGCCCUAUUGAGAAGGAAAAUUUGAAUUUUGAGGAGAAAAGCCCAAAUUUGGAUGUUUAUGGAUUUAAUUGGAUUUUGUUUUUGAAUUUAUAGAAGAUUUGAUUACAAGAAAAAUUGAUUUUUAAGUCAAUUUGGGCUUUAAUUAGAAGAAAUUUAAGUUCUGGGGCCAAAAUAUAUUUUUUAGGAAUUUAUUGGGUCAAAUCAGGGGCUUAAUUGCAUAAAUAUUGAAGUUUAAUGGCCAAUUAGGGGCUUAAUUGUGAAAAUCCGAAACCAGGGACCAAUUUGGAGAAGGCGCAAAGAUAGAGGGGGCUGUUUGGAUUUGAUUCAGGGGCUUAAUUGAAGAAAUUGGAAGUUUAUUGGUCAAUUAGGGGUUUAAUUGUAAAAUUAGAGGCCAAGGACAAAGUGGAAAAACGCGGCCAACUAUGGGGUAGGGACCGAAUUGGCAGGGACGAAUUGAGUUAAACAAAGAUGAUUAAGGACUGAUUCAAAAAAUGUUCUGGCGCCUUUUCUUUUAAAAUGAAACGGCGCGUUUUAUCCAAAACGACGCCGUUUCAUGCAUAAUAAAAAAAAAAAAAAAAAGAGACCGAACGGUGCCGUUUUGAACGGCACUGUUCACUUUCUUCUUCCCCCGAACAUUACAGCGGGGAAGAAGGAAAAGUUUGUAUUUUUUUUUAUGUUUUGCAGGUCCCUCUUGCCACCAACCGACCGAGGCCCCACGCCGGUGGCCCACCGACAGAAGACGCUGGCCGACCACCCGCCGCGCUGCCGAAGCCGAGGGAGGCCCGCCUGGAUAGCCGCUCCCCGACAGCCGCUCCUCGACCCGCUCCUUGGCUCCACGGUGAAGCCACGCCUGUUAGUUCUAUAAAUAGAGAACCGAAGGAACCCGAGAGGACGACGAAAAAAAAAACAGAAGAGGAACCCGAAGAGAACAAGAAAAAACGAAGAGAGAGAGAAGGAGAGAGAAACCACAGAACUUAAGAAACAGCCACCGAAAACCUAAAACUGAGAAGCUUGGGAAAAUUUGAAGCCGAUAGGAAUCUCAGGAAACCGAAGCAGAAGCAACAAACCGGGUGAGCGACGACGAACCGUGGGAAAAAGCUGUAGCGCCGCCUGACUCGCCGUCCGUAAGCCACGACGCUGCCACCGCCUCCACCGCAGCACCGCCAGCAAGCCACCGUCUCCACCGCACCAGGUACGCUUCCUUUCCCCCCUUGCAUUUUUUUUUUAAAAAACCUGCAUCAGUUUUGCCUCCUGCAUGCAGAAUCAUGCUGCAUGCAGGAGGCGGGGGGGAAAAUAAUCCCCCCCCGUUUUGUUUUAUUUUUUAGUUCUCUGGGCCAGAUGGUGUCUGGCCCAGAACUAUGUGGGACGGGCCAGAGGGACCUGGCCCGAUCCGGCGGUCUGGGCCGGACAAGGUUAUUUAGUUUUUGGGCUGAGAUCGGCCCAGUACCGGUUGGGCUGAGAUCGGCCCAGUACCUGUUGGGCCAAGUUCGGCCCAACGCCUUUUAGGGUUGGGUCCGGCCCAGUUUAGUUGGGUCGGCCCAGCCCACUUAAUAUAUAUUUAUUAUAUUAUUAUAUUUUAUUAUUAUAUUAUAUUAUGCAUGUAUAUAUAUAAAAAAAAAAAAUCCGAAAAGUUUUUUUUUAAAAUAUAUUGUUGUUUCCUUUUCAUAUAUAUAUUUUUUAUAUACAUUGGUUUGUAUUUUUAUAUUGUGGAGACACAAACUCAGUGUUUAAAAUACCCGGUUUUCGUCAAAACAUCCAGAGUUUCAAAGAUAAAAAUGUCCGUUUGCUUUCAAAAAUUCUAAAAAAUAUCCUUAAGAAUAUUGUGGAUUUUCCUGCACAUUUUUUUUAUGAUUUUUAUAUUGGUUUGUAUUUUUAUACCGUGGAGAUACAAAUUCAGUUUUUUUAAAUACCCGUUUUCGUCGAAAAAAAUAUAUUUACAAAAAAAAAUGUUUUCUUGCGUGUUGCAUACGGCCAAUACUCUAACAUGUUUUGAUUUCUUUUUUUUUAAAAAAAAAAAUAUUUUGGAAGCUUCGAAAGUGUGUUUUCGCAUAGAUUUCUUAAACACAAAUUAUUUUCUUGCAUUUUUGGAUUUUACAACAUGUUUGUAAAACUCCAAAGGGUAUUGGCCAAUAUUCCAAAAAAACUAUAAAAAUCUUUUUGGGGGAAGAAAAUUUAUUUAUUAUUCACCGCUAAUGUUUGGAUAAAGAAAUCCUUAAAAGGAUGAAUAUCCAAAAUAUUAUUGGGAGUAAUAAAUCCGUACACAUUCUUGAAAGAAGCCUUGAUUAUAAUCGAGGACAUUUCAAAAUUUUAAUUUUUUUUUCCCACGAUUUAUGAGUCCCAAACUCUUGAAAUACUAAAGGGAAAAAUGAGCUUUCAAAGCACAUGGAAUCUCCUUAGAUUUCUAUCCAAAAUCAAUUGACGAGCCUAGAAAAUACCAACACCAUAGCAAUUAUAGAGCAAACGAAACACCAAGCAGCUUACCUUAGGUAGGGCGUACUAGGGGUGCUAAUACCUUCCCUUUACGCAACCAGUCCCUUGCCUUAGAAUCUCUGAAAGACCAGUUAGGGUUCCUAGUGACCAAAAUACUAGGUGGCGACUCCAAAGAACCAAAUCCGCUAAACAGAACAAAAUGAAAGUCGCCAGUCGAAUGUCGCAAAAAACAAAUUUUUUUUUUAUUUUUAGGAUUUUUUGGGGUGCGACAAUUUCUAUCAUCCAACUUGUGAAUAUGAUGAUAGCGUAUAGUAAAAUACUUCUAUUGGCCUGGAAGUUUCCCGGAUCUCUCUGGCAGAUGAACGUGGAUGAGGUUUUUUUUUUUUUUUUUUUUUGUGAUGCAAAUCAUGAGAUCAACAGCUUCUUCUUUUUUGUUUUUUUUUUUUUUCUAGCCAUCUGAAAAACUGUAGUAAUUUUGUUAAAUAUGAGGUGUGAUAGAAAAUUUAACAAGCCCUAACUUUCAGGGAGAGAAAUCUGCUCAUCAGUUUAGCUCACAGACUCGUAACUGGUGAUGACUUGACCGGCUAAGCAAGGUUUUUUUUAAUAAAAAAAAACAUAAUAAAAUUUAUAUUUCAUUUACAAUAAGACUCCUUCAACCGCAAAAGCACAUAUGAAAAUAUGAAUUUUAAUAAAAUAGCAGCGUUUGUUGCUGCGUUUGCACCUGUGUUUUGCUCAAAUUUGAUUUAUUUUUUUUUGUAAAAUUGAGUUUGAUUUGUAUUUUUUGGAUCGUUUUGAUGUGCUAAUAUCAAAAAUGAUUUUUAAAAAAUAAAAAAAUAUUAUUGGCAUGUAUUUCAGCACAAAAAACUAUUUAAAAAACAACUGCUACUACACUAUCAAACACGCUCAGUCUUAUGUCUAGAUUUGUCUGUAGAUUUUGCGAAAAACAGAGGAAAACAGGGCAUUUCUAGUUCUGAUCAUGACUUUUAUCUAACAAAACCAUGAUUGAAUUGUUAGAUAGAGCGCAGAUUAACAUAGAUCGAGGCAAACCAAUGGAUUCAACAGCCCGAUGACGAGUGCCAUGCAUGAUCAAUUAAGACCACAGUUGCAUCAUCAUGGCACCUACCUGCUGGAGAUUUAGCCAACAAACAGGGGUUAGUGGGCAUGGGAGUAGAUGGACGUUGACAAGGACAUAAAUACUCUGUCAAAUAUGCGAGCUUCCACGUUGAGGUGGUUGGGGUCUUUCUUGAGACAUGAUUGCUGGGGUCGAGAACUGUAGAACAAUUUCCCUUUAUAAAAUAUAGUUAUCAGAACUGGCUCGAGUUCUGAUCAUAAUAAAAAGCUAAGAUGAACUGAGUCAAUUCUAAAAUUACAUUAAAAAAAAUCUCAAGAAGUUCAUAGAUACUGGGAUUAGAAAAUCUUUCAUGAUUUUCCCAAUUUAGGGUUCUCUAAUACUGGGUUUAAUUAUGAAUUAGUGUAUUGAUGAGCAUUUAUUUAUUUUUGGUUCUAUAUGGUUUAUUCUCUUUUUGAUUGAAUUUUUUAACAAUCAUUUAUAUAUAGAUUGCUUUGUUCACCAAAAAAAAAUAAAAAAUAUAUUAACUUUUUUAGUUUUGAUUUUUUCCGGUUUUAAUCAAAUAAAAAAUUAUUUUUACCAUCUUUAAUUUAAAAACCGUUUGUUUAAUUUCAAAUAAAAAAUAAUCAAAAUAAUGCUUUUAAUUUUAAAUCAUAGUUUAAAUAUAAUAUUGACUGCAUAGACAAACAUAAUCUUACACUAACAAAUAAUUAUAUAAAAAACAUCGUGAUAUUUAUAACAUGAUUUUCAAUAAUUAUAUUGAAAUAUUAUUAGUAUUCUCACUUGCAUGUUUUAACUAUAAGGUAAUUUGGAUAAUAUUAACAAGAAUGGGGAUUUUAACUUAAUCUCAACCAUAUAUCGAUAUAUAUAAAUUAAUUGAUCUGAAAAUAUCAAAAGAUAGAUGGAAGCAAACAGACGUAACACUUUUCCCCCGCAUGCAUGAUUGAGACGAUAGGGCGAAAUAAACGGAAUCAGCCUGGGAAAAAUACAAGGAUGAAAAUGAAAACAAAGUAAAAGAAAAGGGGUUACAAAUAAAGUAAGGAAACGUUUUAGCAGGGUCUAAUUGAAAGAACAAUUUUCCAAAAAGUGAAUCACCUUUGGGAAAAAAAAGAGGUUUUCGGCUGUGAUUGAGGAUUCAUAGGAUUUUUCCACCCUGUAGGGCCCAGUGGGAUUUUUUACUAAAUCCUUUUGACUAAUGAAAUUGAGUAAUUUUCCACUAAGAGACAAAAAUGCUUGUAUCGAUUUGAAAUUUUGCGUCGGAGGGAAAGCACAGAAGGGAACAAGAUUUGAAUUUUGAUCCAUAAGAAGAAAACAAAUUUCUUCAUUUCAAUGGCUGCCAGCUUCGCAAUAGAGUGGCGGGAAAAUCUGAUCUAGCUUUCUUGACAAAUACUACAAGUCAAUCAGAGAAAUAUUUGAUUAUGAAAUGGGAUAAUAGAGAUUUGGUGCAUCUUAUGGUAACUGAGAUUUGAAUAUUAGGAAAAAGAGUAGAUAUCUAAAUAUUAGUUUGGGACUGGUAGUUGGAGUAUGAUAUCGAUCUUGCUGUAUUUUAAAUGUAUUUAAAUUCUCAUUAGGAAAAAAAAAAAAAAAGAGUUAAUAGUGACAGGGUAAAUUAAAGAUGUGUUAAAACAAGAAAAAUAUCCUGUUUCAAAUUGUAUUUUUUAACUACAAAUAUCAUUUUAAUUGUUAUUCAUUUAAAUUCUAGUUUGAAACACAACAUAUCAUAUAAAUAAACAAGUGAAGUCUUAAUCUAUAAACAACGUGUAUUAAUUGUUAUCAUAGAAAAUCUGUUAGAUACAAACUAUGAAUUAAAAUUUAAUAAUUAUAAUUUUUUUUUAAAAAAAAAUCAAUUUAUAAUGCUUUUAUAGGCUUAACUAACUCAUUUAAUUAUUUUAAUAAUAUGAUGUUGCUACUUAAGUUUACAUUAUCAAUCACUUUUGUUGAUAUUAUUAUCAUUAUUUCUAUUAAUAUCAUCAUUAUUAUUAAUUAUUAUCUCAACCAUCAUCAUUACAGAUAUUAUAUUUUUAUAUUAUUACUUUUUAAAUAACAUAAAAUUUGUUUUGUAAUAAUAUAUCUUAUGAAAAAAUAUUUUAUAAGUACAAUAUUUUAUGGCAAUCAAAUGCCUUCUCGCUUAUUAAGGAUUUGCUGACGUGGUUGAUAGUUUUUUUUUUCAAACUUAUUAUAUCAUUGAUAUAUAAUUUGAAAUAUCCGCAUCAUGACAUCAAUGAGCAGUUGCUUGGUGAUUAAGGGGAGCUAUAAAAUCAUGUCCAAAAUUGCUGGCAACCCACAUUAAAGUCAAGAAUUUGCUAAACGACGAGCUGGCCUUUAAAAUCUCUCCCUGUGUUUUCUUUAUUCAUUUAUUAGUGACAAAGAAACCAAAUUCUCCCUUACACGUUCAGUUUUUAUUUCAUAAUUUUAAGGGUUUUAGAAGUGUGAUGAUGAUUAUUUUUUAAAGUAUGUUUUAUUUAAAGAUAUAUUAAAAUAAUUUUAUUAUUAUUUAAAAAAUAUUUUUGUCACCAGCAUAUUAAAAUGAUAAAAAAAAUAUUUUUAUACAAAUAAAAUUAAUUCUUUAUGAAAUAUUAUUUAGAACUCAAUUUCAGUUUAAUUUGAUGAGUUGAUUUAAAAUCCAAUUAGAGUAGAGUUUGUAAUUAGAACGACCAAAAUUUUAACCUGAUAAGACUAGUGGUUUUGAUUAAUACUAAAUUAGAUAAUAAUAAUAAAAUACUUCGAAUGAAAUUAUUUAAAGUGGAAUUCAAUUUAGUUUUAAUAAUAUACUACAUAUUAAUUAAAAAACUUGGAACUUUUUUUAUUAAUUAAAAAGCCUAGCCUACUUACAAAUAUCAACAUAAAUAGUUCUAUUUAGUUUUAAUAUAUAUAUAUAUAUAUAUAUAUAUAUAUAAGCAGUAGGAAGUUGAAUUUGUUUUAUUAAUUAAUUCACCUGGUGGUGUAUUCAGUCAAGAGUGAAAGAUGAUAGGUUAUUUACAAGUCAAAAUCUUUAAAAAUUAAAAAACAUAAUAACUGAAAAAAGAUACAUAAAAUAUUUAAUAUUUAAUUAUUUAAGUCUCACUUAUCAAAAAAAUCAAUUAAACCUUUUAUAUAUAAAAAAACUGAAUAACCCUAUUAAUACUAAAUAGAAAAAUUAUUCCCUUUAAAUAUAAAAACUAGAAAAGCUUAAUGAUACUAAAUAGAAAAACAAAACUCAUAAACUAAAAAUAAAUAAAAAUUAUUGAGCAAAAAUAUUUAUUUUCCCAAAAAAACUUCUACAUUAAUUUUUAUAAAUCAGAAGAAACUCGUUCCGAGUUCAAAUUAUUCAUGGAGUUGAACCCUCUUGGUUGAAAAACAUCUCUUCUACCAUUAAAUUAUAUAAUGAAAUAUUCUUUCAGCAAAACCUCCUCAAUUAAAAACCAAUAAUCAUUUUAUGUGUGUUACCUCAUUACAAGUUCUUAACAUCUUUAUAAGAGUUGUUGUAUUAUAGAUCUGAAACAUAUUUAAAAGUUUAAAAUUAGUUUUAAUAUUAAUACAUCAAAACAAUUUGAAAAUAUAUUUUUUUUAAUUUUAAACAAAAAAAUAAAAUUUUAAAUUUUGAAAACAUGAUAUGCAUCAAGUUUCAAACCUAAGAAUAGUUAGAACUAGUUAUAUGACCCGCGCAAUGCCACGAGUCAAUUUGUUUUGCAUAAAAAAAUAUGAAAAAAAAAGUUAAGAUAUAAAAGUGUUAGGUUUUUUGCAAAGUUAUACUCAGGAGCCGUGAGUUUGACUGCAACGCCUAACUCAAGAGUAAUAUUUAUAAUAUUAAUAAUAAUAUCAAACUUGUAUGACCCAAGUUUAAGUGAGUUUUACUGCAAUACCAAAACCAAUAGUCUUGGAUGUGGAUGUGGCUGCAAAGUCGUGUCAUAAAAGUGUGAUAAUAAAAUAAAUUGAUUAAAAAAAAACCAACAGGAAGAAAAAAACUAAUAAAAAAAAGAAAAAAAAUCUGAAUUAACUGGGUUAACCCAUCAAACCAAGUUAACCCUUCAAACCUGGAAUCCGUGUCAUGAAAGUCUGAUAAUUAAACAGAAAAAAUUUAAUAUUAAGAAACUAAAUUAAAAAAAUAAUUAAAAAACAAAGAAAAAAGACAAAAAAAAAAACUAAAGGCAUUAACUUUUUCACUGUGAAUUGCACUAUGAAAUCCAUAGUAAAAGACUUAAAAAGAAAAGGAUAAGGAAAAAAACACAAAGGCAUACGCCACGGGUUAAUUUUUUUUUUCUUGCAUAAGAAAUAUGAAAAAAAAACUAAGAUUUAAGAGUGUUAGGUCUUUCUACAAAAACAUACCUAUGAGCCUUAGGUCUAGCUGCAACGUUUGACCCAAGAGUAAUAUUUAUAAUAUUAAUAAUAAUAUUAAACUUACAUGAAUCAAGUUUAAGUGGGUCUGACUGCAACACCGGACUCAAGAGCCUUAGAUGUGAGUCUGGCUGUAAGGUCGUGUAAAAAAAAUAUGAUAAUUAAAUAGAUUAAUUAAGAAAAAACAAAUGAAGAAAAAGAAAAAAAAAUUGAAUUAAUUGGGUUAACCCUUCAAAUCAGGUUAACAUGUCAAAGUUGAGAUUCGCGUCAUGAAAUUUUGAUAACUAAAUAGAAAAAAAAAAGUUGACGGGUUAACCCAGAAUUAACUGGGUUAAUCCGUUAACACAGGUUAACUCGUCAAGCCCGAGACAUGUGUCAUGAAAGUUUGAUAAUUAAAUAGAAAGAAAUUUAACUUUAACAAACUAAACUAAAUGAAAAAAAAAAAAUUAAAAAGCAAAAAAAAAAUUGUGUUAACUCGUCAAAUCAGGUUAACCCGUCAAAUCUGGGAUAGUCUGAUAACCAAAUAAAAAAAAUUAACAUUAACAAACUAAAUUAAAUAAAAAAAUUCAUGAAAAGAAAAAAACAUAAAAAAAUUCAUAAAAACAUAAAAAAAAAAAAAUUAUUAUUUCACUGUGAAUUUUAUAGUAAAACACUGAGCAGAUUUAGUUUAUUGUUAAUACGCAGUCUGGCUGACACCUAAUGUCCUAAAUAAGAAAACCCAUUGGGUUUUACGUAUGAACAGAAAAAAAUAGAAAUGUGAACAAUUGAAGAUAAGAAAGAGGUAUUUCAAACAUUUUUUUUUUUAACAAUAAUAUAUGAAGAUCUGGUGCAUAAUUUAACUAACUGAGUCCUGGCCUCGACCAAAUACUUUGGCUUCUUCUUCCCGCAAGCUAUCCACAGAGCCAUUUCACGAAUCAUGUCAUGCAUUUUCUCAUCUCUGGCGCCUUCAUCUUCCAAUCAGCAUUAUUGAGUAAGACUGUCAUUGAUGUUGUAACCUUCAAUUCGAGCCCCUCAUACAUCUCCAUAUUCACCCAAAAAUCCCUCCCAUGGCCAACCAAUAAUCUAAUUCCGGGAAGAAAGCACAAUACAGGAAACAAUAAUUAACUUUGUUGCUGUGAAGACUAUCAUAACCAAGCUUCAGCAGAGCAAGGUCCCUAUAGGAAGUACCUGAAAAGUCUGAGGUGGCCUUACUUCUGGUAGGGAUCCUGAGACGCCACUACCCAUAUAACGAAAUCGAAAUGGAGCUGUGAGUUGAGCAAGCUGUUGCAGACUUGAGUCAAGAGAGCAGUCUUGAGAAAGAUUGACAUCCUGCAAACCCACGACAACAAUGAGAUAUAUGAGAAAGCAGUGAAAAUUUUGGAGAGAUACUGGGCUGAGGAAGAAGAUGGAGAACCAAUUGUCCAAGAUGGUGGAGAUGGAAAUCAGCAAGGUUUUGCUUUUGGAACUAACCAGCCAGCGUUCCUCAAGGUGGCUUCAAGUUUGGGCGAACGCCUCUCUAGCUUUUUGUAGAUUUUUUCACUUGCUUUGAAAUUUUCAACACUAUAUGUUCGUUGCUGCCAAGGCUCAGAAUUUUUGGUCUGGCACAUAGGGUUUCAGUAUCGAUGGAAAUUGUCAAAAAAUGUUAAAACUUUAGGACUCCACCUUGGAAUUAGUCGAGUUGAAUUGUAAAAUUGAUGUAAAGGAUCUUUGUGAUUGUCUUGAUAUGGAAUUAGACUCGUGCUAUGAUAUAUGAUGAGUUCUUAUAUAUUGAGAGCAUCAGACUUGUCCCGAAUGGCUGGUUUCUGAUGUAGCUAGAGCAAAUUUUCUGAUGUAGCCACUGAAAAUGUAGCUGUUAUGGAUUGUGCAUCAUCUUUUCAACUUACAUCUCGAAUGGAUGAGAUGUUUGAGCCUGCUGCAAUGAAUGCAAUGUGAAAAAAACUGCCGCAGCUUGGAGGCAGUAGCACUGAAAUGAUUUCCAUGUAGCUGUUACUCAUGUUUAUCAAUCCCCUCUUAUGAGGCAUAAAGGGUUGACAAGUGGAAAGCGUUGAGGCACAAACAACCAUAGUUAUCAGACAUGGUUAUGGUUUGAGUUGUGGAUUUUGUUAGAUCAAUCAUAAAAUGAAGUUGUUUUGUUAUUUAUAUAAAUAAAAAUUAAAAAAAAUUAUCAAGUCAAUUUUUAAAUCAAUUCAAAAUAAAAACCUAAUCUGAGUUCGAUUUCAAGUAUAUGAAUUAUCGAAUUAAUCUGGCCGAGCAAGUUUUCAUAACCACGUACAAAUCAAAAGCCCUUUGAUUGAAUCAACAAAAUUCGGGAGAGGAUCUAAUCUCCAUCAUUAGACAUUAUAAAGAAGGGCUAGACGCAAUAUUAAAUGGGCCAGAAAGAUCUUAUCAUCUGAAAAUAAUAAAUGAAGAUUAGAGGGUUCAUUUUUUACAAUCAAGACUAGGGCUUUAAGUUUAUAGGCCUUUGUAAAGUGUAGUAGCUCUGUCCUGCGUAGCUCAACCAUGGCAGACAGCAACGAGAAUCAGCAUGACAAAGGCAAAGAGCAAGAGCAAUAUGGUGUCCUGCUUUACUACAAAUACACAGAAAUCCCUGAUCUCAACUCCCUCCUCUCCUUCUACAAUUCCAACUGCACUUCCCUCUCCCUCCUUGGCCGUGUCCGCCUCUCUCUCCAUGGAGUCAAUGUCACUGUAAUGCGCCCAACUCAAUAACCCCAACUUUUUGCAGUUUAAAUCUCAAAAGUUUGAAUCAUUUUGGUUAUUAAAAUUUUGGGUUUCCUUUGUUUUCUUCAAUCAUAUCACAAUCUCAUUGAAAAGUUUGAAACCUUUUGCUGUUUGGGAUUUUGGGUUUAGUUAUUUGAGUCCAAAAAUUGGAAAGUUUGGAACUUUUUGCUUAUUAGAAUAUUGGGUUUCUUUUGUUUUCUUCAUUGGUUUAAGUUGGAGGCAAGUUGUCUUCAUUGGAGAAACAUAUUGAAGCUGUGAAAGCUAUUAGUUUAUUUGAAGGGACUGAUUUCAAGCUUGCUUCUUGUCAUUUCCCAUUGAAUGACAAGGUUGCUCAUGAAUGUGGCUUCACUUCUCUUUCCAUUCGCAUUGUCAAGGUAUGAAUCUUUGUUCUAUCAAACUUUGGUUUCUAUUCGUAUCAUUGUUUUGAGCUAUUUGGUAUAGUAUAAGUUUUGAUUUGAUAUGCGUUUGUGUUUGCGUUUGCUUGCUUGGUCUAACAUCUUGAUGCGUUUUGGUGUGGCUAGGAAUUGGUUACUCUUAGCCCUUAUCCUCUUGUUAAAGCACCGGAUGUUUCAAAUGCUGGUAGGCAUUUGUCCGCUGUGGAGUUCCAUUCUCUUCUUCAAAGUGCUGGUGAGUUGUGAUUUUCUUUUUGAAAUUUUAUUGCAUGCUUUACUUUUUGGUUUGCUUUCGUUUUAUAGGCUAUGUUUAUUCUUCUUUGUAGUAUUUUGUUCUCUAAAUUUGGUUUUGUUGUUUUGAUAUGUAAGAGAAUGACUAGUAAUGGUUAACUAUGUGUUGGGUGAUUCUGUUUAUGUUUCUCAGGGAAGCUUGUAGAUAAAGAAAGUCUAGUUGAUGAUAAAGGUCUUGUUUUAUUAGAUGCAAGGAAUCUGUAUGAGACGAGAAUUGGGAAGUUUGACAUGCCAAAUGUGGACACUUUGGAUCCUGGAAUCAGACAGUAUAGUGAUCUGCCAUCCUGGAUAGAUGAUAAUUCUGAACAAUUGCGAGGAAAGAAUGUCCUGAUGUAAGUGCUUGUUCCAAAAUUGACUUUUUAUUGGUGUUGACCUGAACUUCACUCUGUUUUCCAUCUGAUUUGUAAAAUCAUGUUAUCAUGGUUGAAAGUUGGUGCAGUUAUGGCUUCAAACGCCCAUUUUUCCACUCUAAUCUUAGUAUGUUUUGUUUGGGUGCUGUGUAGGUAUUGUACUGGAGGAAUCAGGUGUGAGAUGGCAUCGGCCUAUAUUAGGUCAAAAGGUGCUGGAUUUGAGAAUGUAUUUCAGGUAAGCUUGGGAUCCAGCAGAAGCUAGUGUUAUGCUUACCUUGACCAUAAGAUCCUGAGGAAGUUAGGUCCUGAUUGUUGAUCGAUGUACUGAUAUAUUUUGCAAUGCUGGCUUUGUUGCAGUUGUUUGGUGGAAUACAGCGUUAUUUAGAACAAUUUCCAGAUGGUGGUUUUUUCAAAGGAAAGAAUUUUGUUUUUGAUCACAGGUAUGAUUGCUCAGAGUAAUUGCGACCCUAUUGAUUUUAAAGUUUUUACCUUAUCCUUUGGUGAUUGCAUAACAUCAUGCUUUUAUUGAACUUUCUGGUGUUCAAUAAAAGAAAACAAGCAAAGAAAAAGAAGUGUCGAUUUGCCGAGUAAUUUUGUAUUGUGGCUGUAGGAUUUCUGUUGGGAGCUCAGAUACAAAUAUCUUGGGAACCUGCCUUCUCUGUGGCUUAUCCUUUGAUGAUUACUCUUCACGAUGUAGAUGCUCAUAUUGUAGAAUGCUAGUAUUGGUCUGUGAUAGUUGCCGGGUAAGUUUUGAUGACUAGAGUCCUUCUACCAUUGAAUGUUAAUAUUUCUGACCAUUUAAGCAUGUCUAUCAUACUUUAGCUAGCUCCAUCUUGUCCAGUGAAUAUUCUAAGAACCUUAACCAAUGCUUCUCGAUUUUUAUCUAAAGUGAAACUUAAAAUAAUAGCUUUUCAGAUUUUCAUUUUCCCUUCUAAAAACAAUCAUUGCCUAAUAUGUAUGUGUUUUGAUGAACUGUUUGUUCAGCUCCCAUGCCGCUUGUAGGUUUCUGUAUUUUGUUGGGUCUUAUUUGUUAAUUUUUGUGGGUGGGCAGAAGGAGGAAGCUGUUUAUGCUUGCGAGCUGUGCCAAAAACAUGGAAAGGUAAUUGAGUCAAAUGUUGCUGAAAAUGGUGAACAGCAAAAUAUAUUGCCUCAAGUUGAGCUCAAAACCAUUUCCUCAGAUACUAUCCUCUCGCCUCAACUUCAUGGGGAACAGGGUAAGGUCUGUCUCCUUAUCACUUGGAUUGUUUUGGUUCCGUGUUUACCAAGAUAACAUGUAGUACAAUGGUGUAUUUAUCUUGGCUAAUAGUGAACAUCUGUCUUUUUUUAUCCCUGUUACAUCUUUCAUUUUGUUUUCUUCCAAGAACUUCUCAGUCUUAAUGUAAUUGUUCAUCCAAUAAAACAGGUGCUAGACCUCCAAGAAAGCUAAGAAUCUUGUGCUUGCAUGGGUUUCGGCAGAAUGCAUCUGGUUUUAAAGGAAGAACUGCAUCAUUAGCCAAGAAACUUAAAAACAUUGCUGAGCUUGUCUUUGUUGAUGCACCUCAUGAGUUGCCUUUCAUAUACCAGCCAUGUGUCUCGGAACUAGAGUGCAGUGAUGAAUCAUCAUUUUCGUCACAACAAAUUCUCCCCCCAACAGAAACUUGCAGGGGAAAGUUUGCGUGGUUGAUAGCACCUGAUUCCAAAGGAAGGAGUGCAACUGAUUGGAAAAAGGCAGAUAGUCCAUUUGAUCCCCUCCAGUACCUGCAGCAAACUGAAGGGUUUGAUGUAUCAUUAUCGUAUUUAAAGACAGUAUUCUCUCGGGAUGGGCCAUUUGAUGGGAUCCUGGGAUUUUCUCAAGGAGCAGCGAUGGCUGCUUUACUUUGUGCACAAAAAGGGAGGCUAAAAGGUGACAUUGAUUUCAGAUUUGCAAUUUUGUGUUCUGGGUUCGCUCUUCCAUUUGUGGAGAUUGAGAGUGGAUCGAUUAACUGCCCCACUCUCCAUAUAUUCGGAUGUGUUCCAGGCAAGGACAGGCAGAUUGCAAACAAAACAAGCAGAGAACUUGCUUCAUUAUUUGAAGAUGGUUGCUCAGUAAUUAUUGAGCAUGAUUGUGGUCACAUCAUUCCUACUCGGACUCCAUACAUCGAUGAAAUCAAAGGCUUCCUUCAACGCUUUCUGUAAUGCGAUUAAAAAUCCUUUGUUAACCAAUAUGGUUACUUUAAGAUGGCUUCUCAGCUAUUACCUGAUCCGUAUUUGCUUGUUACUCAUUACACCAUUUUUCUUCAAUCACUUGCAAAUACAAUUUAAUUCCAAGAUUUAUCUUUUUAUUAAAAAUAUUUUCGAAGUCCAUUGAAGCCCCUCAACUGAGAAUUUAAGAUUUGUACAACGUACAGACGGAAAUACUUCAUAAAAAACAGAGGAGAACAGUCACUCGUCUGCCUCAUAGAAGACCAGACAACGAACACGCAAGUUCUUCAGAAUGAAAACUGAGAACCAACAAAUCCUAAAUUUAGAUUUUUUGGAAUAAAAACUUUCAGCUUGUGUUUGGAAUUCUGAAGCAUUAUGGUUCUUAUAUCUUUACUUCAGCCAAUUGAGCCAAACAACAAAGCUGAUGGUUUCUAUAUGCAUUUCUCAGGAAGAGAUUUACAGUCAUAUACAUGAAACAAACAAGUAUGAAGCUUUGCCGACCUGGUGUUAGCAUUCGGCAAAUACACACAACUAUUCGUUAUGAACUUGAAAUCUAGAUUUUCGUUAUGACCUGGUCUUGUCAAUUUUUAUUUUCAACACGAAAAAUAGAUGCAUGAGUGUUAUGAUAUAUGCUUAGCAACCUGAAUUCCUUGGUGAUGAUCGGACAGGGGCUGGGAUGAACAUAUGGACCAGGGUAGUUUGGGCCACGUACUCACCUCCAGAAACUCCAAAAAAAAACUUGUUUUACAAUCGUGAGAAUCACCUCAUUGACCCAUUAGAUCAAUGACAAGCCCGAUCACUCCAAGAAUGGGCCAAUUCAUCAUUCAAUAAACCAAGUCAAGCUCAAUUACUUCACUGGCCUAAAAUCACAUUCCAUGGAAAACCUAAUUUAGUAUGAAGUUUUUAUAACCUCAUCAGAUGGCCUCAAAUUCUAUUAUUAGCAGAAAAAAGAAACCAUCCAGGCAUUUCAUUGUUGUGGGAAUUACGUAGAUUAAUAUCAUCUGCUUCCCAUGUUGGAAUGUUAGGGUGUGUAUUUGUUAUAUAUACUUGCAUGUUGUAGCAAACAAAGCUCAUUUAUAGAUAAACAUUUCCAUUUUCCAGCUAUAAUUAUCGGAUUUGGCUUGAGAUUUGACCCAGUUUAGAGCUCGGUUUAUUAGGUUAUUGGAUUAACUCAUGGUCACUAAGUCAUUCCAUAUUACUUCUAAUUCGACACUGUUUUGAAAAUUAAAAAAAUAAAAUUCAUUCGAGUUAACUUAUGGAUCGUGAAUCAAUUAUAUAGUCAUCUAAAUUUUAACUGAAUUAAUAUUUAAAAUAUUCAAAAUAAAACCUAAUCUAGAUUGACGACAAAUUAUUGAAUCGACCAGUCGGUCGGACAGGCCGAGCAGGGAUGGAUAUAUAUGUCCAUGAUAAUUCUAACACCAGCUACGAUCGUCCAUCGAAGCAAGUGUUGUAAUCAAUCAGUGUCAGUACUGUUUCUACCCUUUUUGAGUUGCUUAAGAACUAAGAUGUUGUUGUAAAUAAUAACAGUAAAGGAUGUUAAGAGUUAGCUGAGAACCACGGAGCAUCAUUUUGAGGUCGGAGCUUCACGCCCUCACCGCCCAAGCAGCACCAUCAAAACAACCAUCUAGAUGUACAAAACUACAAAGGCUCCUGGGGAUAAUCCAAGCAUGCAACUAUUUGGGUUGGUAGCUCGUCUAUUUCUGCACAUGGAAAGAAGCUUCAGACUUGUGUUUUCUCUCUUUUCUUUCACUCACGCAAGCAACCGAUCGUGAGCAUGAAGUGUUUUGACUUUUGGGCGUAGUCUGAAUCAAUGAAAUGCUUUCCUUCUUGUGUUUUUUUUAUAUGAUGUAUUGUUGAAGUGUUCUUUAUUAGUAAAAAGAAAUAGAAAUCUCAUUACAUGCCUUGAUCGGUAAAUUCUGAAGAAAGUAGAGUGGAUUAAGUUGAGAAAACCUGCACUAAACCUGAUAUGAACUGAGUUUAAUGAUAUAUUGAUUCGAUAAAAUUAAGUUGAUAUUAAAGAAAAGUUUUUUAAAAUAAAACGAAACUGCUUUAAUAAAAAUAAAUAACCUUAAUUGAUUUUUCCUUCGGUAGGUUGUAACAAUUGAGCCAGGAGUCUACAUCCCAUCCAUUUUUUACGGUCCGGUCCAGAUAGGUACUUCCCUUCCUGCGAAAGCCAUUAGGACACGUCAUGCAAGAAGCUAGUUGCUCUGCAGCUUGCAGAUUACAUUAAUGACAUGUUUGGAAUUGUAAAUCUGAAAAAUAUAUUCAGACUCGUCGUAAUUCAUAUAGAAAAUCCUUGAAUUUUACUAAGCUUUCAGGAGCUGGGAUUAGUUCCUGAGUAGCUCCAUGCCAAAAGAAGUAGAACACACAGUCCUUGCUAAACAACCGCAGUCAUGGAAGAGUUAAGGAAGCUCAAAAUAAUCUGGAAGUUGCUUCGUGUGAUCCACUUAAAAUUGUCAUUGGGACAAGACAAUGUCUUGUUGCCCUAAUUUCUAACUCUAAAAUCGUUUUACGACACAUUGGGCUUUCGCUACAUUGAUGUGAUCGGAGCGCGGAAGCAGAGUUAUACAGAAGCUGCUUCCGGUUGACAAUUCCCUCGAACAGUUGAAGAGUCAAUACAAUUGCUCAUUGCCUCAUCUCACUCCACAGGUAUUUUCAGGCCUGUAUCCUUUUUCACGUUGGAGAGGUAGGACAACGCCAUGGUUCUCAUUCCUGAGGCCUUUUCCCUCGUUUACCUCCUCUAUUCUUGUGAAACUAUAUAUUUAAAAAUAAACUCAGGUUAAUCUAUUAAUUUAUAGGUUGAUUUAUCAACCCGCAACAAGGAUAUUAAACCGUGAACAAUUGAGUCGGGUAUACUAACUAUGGCUACAUUAUUGCCAUUUUGUUCUGGUUAAUUAAUUUUAUUAUGCAAUCUCCAAUAAAUGGCUACGGUCAUGUUCACACCAAGAAGAACUUUAUAUUGACAGAUGCUUAUCGUUUCUUUUCCCCUGAUCGAUGUGAAAGAUGAUACCAUGUUUAGUUUUUUGGGGUGGCCGUAGGAUAAUAAAACAUUCGUUCUUUUUUUUUUUUUUUUUUUUGAGAAGUAUAAUAUUGCAUUAGAAGACGCCAAUAGAUGACGGGAACAUAGAGAUUCUGUUUACAGGACACCUAAACAGAACUAUGCAAUGAAAUGAACAACAUACCAAGAAACGAAAAGAACAAAAUGCAGCUACAAUAUACAUAUUUGAAGCCAAGAAAUCAAAGAAGCAGCUAAAAGAUGCAGAUUUGGAGCCACACCAGGAAGAGAAGCCAAACAGACUUCUACCGAUAUCCAGAUUAGAAGAAAAACAAAAUCUUUCCAUCUUGCAUCUUCUUAUCCAAAACAAAAUACCAGCCAUGGACUCUUCACAGAACAACCUUUGACAACUUAACAAUAAGAGAACCAAGAUACUCGACGCAUUAACAUAGAAAAAACCAUAGCAGGCAAAAGGAAGCCCAUCAACAGAAGCCCCUAGACUUGCAACAUCAAAAUCUGAAACCAAGAAGUUUCACAAAAGACAAAGAUCUGACCAGCUGGAAUUGCUUCUGUAUAGCUAGAUGAUUCUUCUCCUUUCUAGAAAUAGAGUAAUCUGGGAAACAAUCCAGUUUCCUUAGCAUCCGUAACCAGAAUUUAAAGAAAAAAAAAGGCCCAAAUAUCAAGCAGAUUAGAGCCAAGCGACCCAUUCAGAGUUUCUAAACACCCCCUCUUUUUUGCCAUGUGAUCUGCCAUAUGAUUACUCUCAUGAAGAGAAUGAGUGAAUGUGAGUGAACCAAAACAUGAAGCUACUCUCUGAAUAGAGGAGAAAAGAUUAUGAUGCAACCAAGGUCUAUUAUGAGGGUUAUUCAUCCAGCUAAUGACAUUGGUCGAGUCAGAUUCAGCAAUAAUUUGUUUAUGAUGCAGAUGACAGUUAGAAGCUGAUAAUUCAAUAGCUUUGACAACCGCUUUUAGUUCAGCUACAUUAGAGUCUAAAAUCCCAACUGGCAAGGAGAAUAUACCAAGAAGAAUCCCAUGAUGAUUUCGCAAGACUCUGCCUAUACCUGAGGAUCCCGGCUUCCCAAGAGAGGAACCAUCCACAUUCCAUUUGAAGCAAUUAGUCAUAGGGGGAGACCACACAACAACUGCUCUAUGAUUUGAAGAAUUAGUCCAUCGAACUAGCCCUUCUAUUGACCUUAUUAAUUCUGAAGUGGAAUAAGAGAAAUCAGGCUCUAUAGCCUUUAUCCAAAAGCAGAGACGAGUAAUAAUAAGGAUAAACAAAGUAUCAUAAUUCGGGGUUGUUUGCUUGAAUAUUGCAUCAUUACAAAGAAGCCAAAGAGACCAUGUCAUUGAAAAGAACAACAUCAACCAAGCUUUUUUUUGAAAUUUUCCAUAAACCAAGGAAUCCCACUGAGAGAAAAGAGCCGCCAAGUCUUUUGGGCAACACCACGCUAAGCCCCACCAAUUGAUAAUUUUAAACCAAACUAUCCAAUUUUUAUGACAAUGCAGCAAUAUAUGAUCCACCGAUUCUUCCUCAACAAAGCAAAUUGGACAAGCAGCAACUGAGAUGUUCAAAAUUCCUUUUCUGACCAGCAUACUACGAGUAUUAAUUUUUUUUAAUUAUAGCCAUUCAGCAAACAUUCGUUCUUGUUUGGUAAUGAAAUGAAAGAGAGUUCCACCACUGUUGGUCGUGCGAGGCCUCGCCUUUAUGUUACAUAUUUAUGCUGUUCCUCACCUACUUCCUAACAAUGGGCUGAUCUCUCCCCCCACCUCUUCACUGAGUCUGCUUCUUGAUGAACAGACAGUAACAUCGUCUUCUUUUUUCCAUGAAUGUGCUGCAAUUUGUAUUAUCAUCUCUUAUUACUCUUUCUGAUGCGGCCAAGCCUGAUUAGAUUAGGAAUCAGAGAAGAAGAUGAUGGAAAAAUCACAAAAAAAUUUCAAAAACAAGAAGCCUGCUCGUGCUGUUGUUUCUCGAUAAUUUAUUCUGCCAAAAUCUUCUCCAGGAAAAAUAAAAGGAUAAUAAUAGCUUAAACUGUAGCUGUCCGAACGUAAAAGGAAAAAAGGGAUCUUGGUAGGAAAAUAAAAUCAAAAGUCCAAAAUUAAAGGCUAAAACAAUAAAAUUGAUUAAAACAAUAUUUUUAUAGGCUUAAUUUGAAGGAGCCAAUUAAAUUUACUAUCAAAUCUAAGACCUAUUAAUUUUUUCAAGUUGACUUUGAGUAACUUAUUAAAUCUAACACCUAAAAUUUGCUCUAGAUUAAUUCUUGAAUCGGUUUAAAAACUAUAUAUCUAGUAAUGAUCACACGAGGAUGUUAAGAAAUAUUAAACCUAGAUUCUAAAUUUUACCAUGCACUAAAAGCAUCUCUUGAAAUUCAAUCGCUAAACCAUAAGAGAUGAUCUAAAAUUUAGGAAAGCUUUGCCACUACCCAAUUUAACCCAAACCUAUAGCUCAAGAUUAUAGUUUUUAUAAUCCAUUAAGGCUAUGUUUAUUUACUUGUAGUUUUUGUAUUUUCGGUGCAAAAAACAUAAUAAGAUAUUUGAUAACACACCAAACUAUGUUUUUUUUUUUUUUUAUUGUGGGGCUUACUAAAAAAUUAAGUUUGAAACGCAGUUUUUGAGAAACAAUUUUUACAUGUUUUUAUAACUGAGUUUCGUAAAAGAGUUUCGUAAAACUCUGUUUGUUUUUGCGUUUCAAAAGCACUUUUGAAAAAAAUUAUUUUUUUUUUACUUCAAAUUCAUUUUUUUUUGUUUUUAUAUCAUUUUGAUGCGCUGAUAUCAAAAAUAAUUUUUAAAAAAUAAAAACUUAUUAUGAUACAUUUCCAAAUAAAAAACACUUUGAAAAAUAACUGCAAUCACACAACUACCAAAUAUUUUAUACAUAUUUUUUAUUGUAUAUAAACCUCAACCAUAAUUUUUACUAAAUACAUAUCUAAAUAUAACUAAUUAACCACAUAUAACAAUACUUUUUUAAAAUUUAUUUUUAAAAAAUUAUAAUUAUGAAAAUUAUCUAAAAAACAAACGGCACUCUCUAAGUUGUCCUCUGAACAAGGUUUUAGAAAGCAAUCAAAGUAGAUAAACGACAAGACAAAAGAAUCACUUUUGAGUUGGCAAGGUCCAACCUUCAGACAAACAAAGGACCCGACAUCACUAGGUGUGCUGGGUUGUGUUGGACCCUAAACAGUGAAAAAGAACAAACGUUCUUGGCAGUUAGCAAAUUGUUGUUCAAAUAAAAUAAAUAAUCACAACAAAAAAGCAAACAUGUCUUCCUUUAUUUUUGCAAGAAUCAAGUUGACUCUCAACAUCCAGAAAAUUGUUGGGUUUGGAAUUUGUGUUGCAAUGGUUAUUCCACGCACUUGCAUCUCCAUGUUUGCAGGCUGGGGAUAAGGACCUCUCCCUCCACUGUAGCUUCGCCAGUGACCACACAGUCUACCCCCAUUCUGGGGUUCAAGCUAUGGUUAUUCAUCAUUAAUAACAUUAUAAAAAAGAUUAAGUUGUUACAUGAAAUUAAUUAUUUAAUAAAAAAAAUAAGUUGUUAAUGAAAUUUAACUGUUCUUCCUUCAAAGCCGAUCCAUUCAAUUCUCAACGUGAUUCGUUCUGAAGUAACUACUAUAACCUUAUCUUUAGAGUGUGAUUCCAAAGCUGCAGUAGAAAAGGAACCUAUGACCUGAUGAUUCAUAUCCAUUAUGGAAUAACUAUUACCUUAUCUUUAGAGUGUGAUUCCAAAGCCUAACUAUGAAGGUGAAAAUAAAAAAAUCAGAAGUUCAUGUUUUAGUUCAUGACUCUAGGGACUUUGAUUUGGAGUGAUUCUCAAAAAAUAAUUUGAAGGUGAAAAUACAAGCCUCUCAAUUAUGCAUUUGGAACAUUAAAUUUGAGAAUCAAUAGCAAUACAAAGUUAACUAGUUGCUGAAACAGCAAUAAAAUUUUUAAUAAUAGUUUGUCCAUUAUUAUAUAUAUAUAAAGGGCAUCAAAUUUAAACAAUUCUAGUCUCAUGAAAGUAACUUUUAAUUCCAACCUUCAUUUGCAAAUCUUAAUUAAAAAAGAAGGAAUACAGUAUAUUAUGCUUUCAAAAACUACACAAGCCACUCAAUUAUUUUAGCUUUGGAGGCAACGUAAAGAAAACAUCAAAGCUAUUAGCCAGACAUGGGAAACUAGGAAGGAGAAUUUGCUUAGAACUUUGAUAAUAGAACUGACGCAUGCUGACCAAAUUUUGUUCUUAGCCAACCUAACUGGCAACCAAAACCAAACACUUUACAGCAAAGUAGCUUAUUAUACAAAGAUAACACUUGACAACAAAAACUUUUGAUUUGAUAGCAACCCCACAUUUCAAAAAUGGGACUAAGCUAUUCUUUUUACUGUUUAACAGUUUUGAACACAAAUGAACCCGUGCAGCCAACCUUAACCAGUUCAGUUUGUGGCUUAGUGGAGUCAAAUGAUACUGUAGAAUAGUACAGCUGCAUAGUGGAGUAUACACUGCAUGAUAUAAUCUCGAGGAAGGUAGCAUAGUGACACCACAAUUUUGCAGCCAUUUGAUACAUGACAAAAAAAAAUUGAAAAAGAAGGUAGAGGCAGGAAAACUAUUUCCAAAUUCCAGUUCACCGACUCAUAGGGAAUCACCAUUCAUCAUUGUAUGACCACUUCAUCUAAACUCCCAUAGAUGCAAACUUUCCUUAAGAGGAUAUCAAAAUAUUCCUACACAUUAAGCACUCUCCGAUCACCCAUCUCGUUAUGCUAACUUGCACCUGUAUAGCAAAGAUUUUCACAGAUAUUCCUUUGCCUAUUCUCAUAAUUCCUUUCCCAAAUAUUGCAGAAAAUUGAACAAGUUAGUGAAUACUCAGCAUAAUCAAACAAGAACCAUUAAAAGGUAAGAGUCGUUAUUUAAACUACACAUCUGAUAUUAUGUAGAAAGAAUAUUUUGAAAUUAAUACAAAAGAAGUAAAGCAUCAUCAAAAAGAGUCCACAAGAUGAAUAACCUGAAAGAGCCAUAACAUCAAGGAUUCUUUGAGCUAGUAACAAUUCCAUUAAAACUACGACUAAAAGAAUUUAAAUAGAUGUUUACAAUAACCAAUUUCAUCACUCAACUUGCAAUAACUCCACAUUGUUAGAAUCUAAACAAACACAAACAUGCAUGAUUUAAAAAAAAAAAAAAACUCAUGCAAAUUGAGUUGGGGAUUAAGAAUAAUUACUUGUUGACAAGGGAUGCCUAGUUUUUUGAGCUUCAAAGUCCGAGUAACAAGAAGUUUGUGAAAGUCACCAAUUUCAGAUUCAAGCUUGGUUACAUGGGCUUCAACUCCUUUCCCUAUUCCAUUUAGAAACUCUGGAAUUCCAACUUUCACUGCAACAAAAAUAACAAAAAAGUAACAACAUUCUUCAAGCUCAGCCUCUUAUUAAUUGCAAAGAUUAAAAUCAAAGAAAAAGAAACUUACAACAGAAAAUCUAUAAGAACAUCGUUGUUCCAACAAUGAAAAACAAUGCAUCCACCAAAGAUUCAAUCUUUCAAAACUCAAAUCCAUUUUAAUCUCUCACAGAAAAUCACACAAAAAGAAAUAUCCUUUUCCAGUUACUAUUUACAUGAAAAUCAAAUUUUCUUCAUUUUACACAUGCAAAAAAUGAAAACUUUAUGAGCAGCAAAAGGGAGACAUGAAAAUUAAAGCAAAACCCACCAAUCUAUUCCCAUUUUCAAUCCAAGCAACUAAAAUCGAUUAAGAAAUUAAUUCAAGAACAUGAACUUAGUUAACGAUUACACAAAAAGAAAGAGCUCAAACGAAAAUGUUACCGAGGUAAGGAGAGGAGGAUUUGGAGAAGAAUCUAGAGAGCCCAGGUGUAGAAAUCGCUCGUUGUGGUGGGAUUGAAAAGGCCCUUUUAGUGUUUGUGAAUAUUUGCCUCCAUGUCAUUGCCAUCUCCGUAAAGCUGCUGCCUGCUACGGGGUUUUGGGGUUUUAGCAGAGCGGCCACGUUGUCCAGUGUUUUGAUGUGUUGUAAGUUUAGAAACGACUGGUCAUUGAGACAUUAGGAGGUCAUAGACGGUAUGUCAUUUAUGAUAACAAUAUGUGUCAAAUUAUAUUAUAGUCCCCAUGAAGUUUCUAAUAUUAUAAAUUAGUCCUUUUAGUUUCGAAGAAUCUAGAUAACCCAUUUGUAGAGAUUGCCUGUUGUGUUGGAACUGAAAUUAUUCUUUUUGUGAUUAUAUGCAUUCAUGCCAAGUUUUUUUACUAAAAUUAAAAGAUUAAAUAAUAUUUUUUUCUAAAAUAAAAUUGUUAGUUAAGUGUUAUCAGGAUUUAUCCAACUUGCUAACUUCUAAUAAAACUCUACUACUCAAUAUUAAUCCACAACUCUCUUAUAAAUUAUCUUCAUCAAUCAAUCCUUUGCUCUUAUCAAAAUCUUGCUCUCUUUAAUCCCUAAACAAGCUAGGUUUCUUUCGUUGUUUGUUUCUUGAGAAAACUAUGCAGAUAUUUGUGAGAACCCUGAGACUCAAAACCAUCACCCUUGAUGUUGAAAGCUCCGAGACAGUCGAAGACUUGAAAGCAAAAAUCUAUGAGAAGGAAUUAGGCAUCCGUCCUGAGAACCAACGUCUCAUAUAUUGUGGAAAGCAAUUAGAGGAAGGAAAAACCCUGUCAGAUUACAACAUCCAGAAGAACUCCACUAUCCACCAUGUUCUUAGGCUUUGUGGCGGCGGCAAGCAGCAAGCCUUUUAUUGAUCUUUCUUCAUGAUAUGGCAGAGAAAAUUCACAAAGUGCCUCCUUCUUGAUCAGUUUGUUGCUUAUUUAUCAGAGUAAGUCAUGUAGCUUUUCGUUAGUAUUUCGAAUUCUAAGAGACAAAGACAGAUUUUUUGAAGAAGACAUGGUUUUGGAGAUUGAAUUUUCUUUCGUAAACUUUUUUAAGAUUUUAUAUAUUAAUCAGUUAAGUUUCAUGAUUUUGUUAUCUAUGAUGGUUUGCCAUUAUUGUUAUUCCAUGUUAUCAUGUUAUAAUAGAUGACAUAGUAAUUAAAUCGGUUCUAGCUUAUAACCAUGCCCAAGACUUGGGAUAUAUAUCAUUUUAUUUUUUUACAAUGUUUUUUUUUUUUUUAAAUCAAAUCCAGGUGUGUAUUAAUGACUUAGAGAAAACUCAAAAAUCAGAUCUAAAUCAUUAACUAAAUGCGUUAAUGACCUGCAUUUUAGAUUAUUAAUUAAAUGUGAAUUGAUAAUUCGUAAUUUGAAUUUACCUAUCGUAUUAAUAAUAAUAUAAUUAUGAUAUAAAGAUUCUUAACAAUAAUAGCUAUCACAUGGCCCAUAAUAUACAUUUACGAAAUUGAUUUUUUUCUUGGAUGAUUUUUAUAUUUCAAUUUCAUGUUUUUAAUGAAGAUUAUUAACAAUAAUGGCUUUAACAUAUUAAUGUAACGUUUAUAUGACACCCCCCCCCCACUAGUUUAGUUCGAUUCAAUCUAAUUGAUGGUAAUAACAAAAGAUUUAAUCCCUAGUUGCCUUUUUACCGUACUAAUUCUCUACAAAGGUUAGAAAAAUUAUAAAGUUUCUUCUUGAUUACAAGUAGCUGAAACAUUAUAAUACUUCAAGUGCAAUUCCUCGAUCAUAAUCUAGAACAACGACUAUGUAAAACAAAGUUCUUGAAAAAAAAUAUGUGGCAAGAAGUGGUGGUCUUUAUCCUGUUAAAUUACUCCAUCAUUGUCUGCCAAGAAAAUGUACUUUGUCUUUCAUGACAAGGUAUAGUGCAUUCAAAACCCAAGGCUUUGGCAAUCUGUGCUUGAACAUGAUGCUACCUCCAACUUUGAUUUCUUACCGUGCUGACAUGUUGAUGCUUUUUGCCACCUCUCAAAAGUUUUGACAGUGAAAACUUACAACAGGAUUCAUCAACAGGAAUAGAGGGUCCAUGCAUUUAAAACCGCUAGCUGUACGUAGUUGCAUAGAACAUGCUAACUUGAGUAGGUGCUGAUAUAUAUAUAUAUAUAUAUAUAUAUAUAUAUAUAUAUAUAUAUAAUUUUUUAUUAUAAUAUAAUAAUAUAUAUUAUACAUUAAAACAAAAUAAAAACAAAAAAACUCUAAAACAUUCCAAAAAUCCUUUCAAAAAAUUUAUGAUUUUCUUGUGUAUUUUUUUAUCAAUUUUAAUUAAUAUUAGUUUGUAUUUUUAUAAUAUAAAUAUAUAAUGUUUUUUUUUGGACCGGGUACAAACCAACCCAGCUAUUCAGGUUGAGCUAGAACUAAACCGUCCAAGACGGGGGGUUAAAUAUUCCCCCUGUCCCUCCUUCCUGCAUGCAGAAUGAAUUCUGCAUGCGGGCGCGGCUUGAAGCCGAGGGAAAAUAGAAGGGGAGAAGAGAAAGUUGUGGGGGGGGGGGGGGGGAACCUGGUCGUAGCUAGCUGUCACGGUGAUGGUCAUGCCGUGGAAUAUGCCGAGCGGCUGGUGGUAGUUGCGGCGGAGCUGGCAGCGACAGGUGGUGGUUGUUGCCUUUCUCCUCCACUGUGCAAAGACACAGGGAUCUCUUUUUUUUCUUUCCCUCUUCUGCUUUUAUUUCUAUUAUUUCCACCCCCUCGUCUCUUUUCUAUUUCUUCCCUCCUGGUUCUUUUUUUUUCUUUCCUCUUCUCUUCCCCUCCUCUGUUCUCCCAUGUUUUUCUUCCAACUCUCAAAAUUCCCCCCUCCUGUUUUUUCGUCUCUGCCUCUGUCUCAUUUACCUCCCCAAAACCAUUCCUCCUCUAAAACUUCCCCCAGCUUCUGUUAUUUAUAAGUGCAGGGGAGAGGUAGCCACCCUAUCCUGUACAAGCGCAAGGUAAGGUGGCAUGGGGUGGGUUUUGUUUUGUUUUUUUUCCAAACAGUAUAUGAAACGGUGAUGAUGCGGCCAAAAUGAGCCAUUUUAUUUUAAAAAAUAACGCCAAAAUAUAUCAAUUAUAAAUCGAUCCUCAAUUUUUGAUUUGUUUAACUAAGUUUUCAAUUUCAAUUUUUAUUUUAAAAAUUAAUUCAAUUAUAUCCCUGUCAAAUUCUAAUUUCAUCCAUAAUGUUGGCCAAUGUUUUCAUUUUAGUCCUUGGUCAAAGAUUUAUGCAAUUUGACCCUCAAUUGAUCAACAAACUUUCAAUUUCUUCAAUUUAGCAUCUAAUUCGGACAAUUUCAAUUCCUCUAUUUAUGUGUCUUUUCUAGUUUGGUUCUUGGUUUUGGAUUUCUUCAAUUAAGUUCAUAAUUGGCCAUCAAACUUUAAUAUUUAUGCAAUUAAGCCCUUGAUUUGACCAAUUCAACUCUUGAAAAUUAUAUUUUGACCUCUGAACUUUAAUCUCUUCAAAUUAAAGCUCAAAUUCACUUAAAAAUUAAUUUUUCUUGCAAUCAAACCCUUUAUAAGUUCAAUUACACUUUCAGUUAAAUUUGCAAGUGCACAAAUCGUAACAAGUAAUAAAGUGAUGAGUAGAGUAUCGUCCCACGAGGAUUUGUAAAAAUUACUACUAAUUACCAAAGUCUUUUAAAUUAUGAUCUAUUUGAGGAAUCGAAUAAGAUAGUUUAUGAAACAAAAAUUAAUGAUUAAAAACAAACAACCAAUUGAUUAAAUAUUAAUGAAUUCAAUUGUACUGGUUCUAGGAUUUCUGACUUACCGUAACUAUGCCUACAUGAACUUUCUUGAUUAAAUUAAUUACUCCUAAUGUUGAUAAUCAGGUUUUCCUUAUGUAAAUAUUAAUCUCUCUCGAGCAUCAAUAAAUUAUUUCGACAAACAAAUUUCAUAUACUUUACAAAAUUUCUGAACUUGUCGAAAUUUAUUAAGUACUGUAAAACCUGUAACGAUUACAAAAGUUCUUAGGAUAUCUCUAUCCUAUAGAUUUCUUACGGUAUUUCAAACAAUAGCUAAAACAAUUAUCACUUCUCAGUUUCAAAUUGAAUUCUAAAUCAUGCAGAUGUUGGCCAAACACACGCAAGCAUUACACAUAGAAUGAAAUACUCAACAUCUUAAUGUAAUAAUUCAAUCGAAGAAAUUGUUCACAUAAUCAUAGUAAGGUUACAUCAAAAAUCCCAGAAUAAAAGUCUACUCCAUAGUUAAAUUAAAGAGAAACAAACUUGAUACGAUGAACAUCAAUCAAGAGCAGAGAAUUUCCGUCGAAAAGAUAGGUGUCCUCCCGGUUUUUAAUAGUUUUGCCUCUGCCCCUCUUUUGUUCCCCUUGGUGCCGCCUCCUCUCUUUUUCUUUUCUAUGUUGUAGGGUUUCUGUUCGUCCUCUCUCCUCCUUUUUCUUCUUUUAUAUUGUGGCUUUUCUACCCCUGCAGUAAUGAGGAAAGUUUCCUUUUCUGCAUUAAAUUCCUUCCUACUCAGACAUUGCGGGCCCGAUUUGAGGUAGAAAACGUGCGAAUUCAAAGAUCUCUAUUUCUGGAGAAAUUGUAGAGAAUCAAAUUUUCUUUCCAACGAAACUGAUCUUGCAAUUUUUGGACAUCUGAGGGUUGAGAUAAGGGCCAUAAACCGAAACAGUCUUUGCAGUGCAGGAAUUUCGGGCUGGUUCAAUCCUUGUUUUUCAACUCGCUUUUUGGGCUUCGAAACAACAAAACUGAGUUAUAUGCCCUUCAUAUGUUUUGUAGACCUUCAUCUCAGCUAUUUGAAAAUGGUUACGAACAUCCGAACUAAAUUGUAUAGCUUCUUUGCAGCACAUAAUGAAUCACUGUUCAGUUUCACUGCCGGCUCUGCCUGUUCAGUAACCUAAGAUCUGAAAACACAUUAAUUUCCCACGAGGUCAAUAGUUCAAAAAGAGAUUCAAAAUUCUAAUUGUCUUGUGCAACAUAUCCAAAAUAUUUAAAAAUCAAGCAUGAAUAGAAAAUAUACAUGCUAAAAAUUCCCUUAUCAAAUACCCCAAACUUGAAUGUUUGCUUGUCCUCAAGCAAAAAGGAAACCAUGAAAGCAGAGUGCUAAAAGCUCAUGAUAAGUUCAACUUUCACAUUUAAAAGGCUCCAUCAUGCAGCAUUCACUUCUUGACUUAGCUCAUAGACAAUAUUAGAUAAUGAAAAAUUAAACAUUCCUACUCUCUGUGCAGGUCGUUGUACAAACUUCCAACUCAUCCAUGUGUUUGAUGUGUUUAGCAUCCUUGAACCGUGCACAGUCAUUCCGUCAUUUUUUUUUUUGAACAAGGUAGCCAACUUUAGGAGUAAUAACACACUUUUACUUGUCUUUUGACAAGGGUGAUUUUUUUAAAUUUAUCACUUGUCUUUUGACGCGAAUACAAACAUUUGUGAUGAAUGCACCCGGUUACUUAACAGGUCAUAAACUUAAAAUGCUUUGCAUACUCAUAUUUUAAGUUGCCGUUUGACGUAAAAGUAAACAUUUGUGAUGAAUACUCCUAGUUACUAAGCAACUCAAAACAUUGGAGUAGAUACACAUCAUAUACUUAUUCAUUCACUUUCAUACUCAUUAUCACUCCUUGUUUUAAUAUUUUUCUUAGAGGUAAUAACAAGAAAGAACAACACACUUAUCUCUUAUGCAUAACUACACAAUUCACAUGACUGUGCUGGAAAAGUGUACUUCAAUAAUUCAAAAGAAAAUAGUCAUGCUUAAUCCAACUUUAUAAGAUAUCAUCCGCUCUAAGCCAAGAAAUAUCAUGGUUACAUCAUGAAGCACCUAAAAAUAUCAAAGUUGGUCUUAAAUGCAUAUCACUUUCACCCUCUGUUUUCAUGGUUCUAGUGUGCAGUGUCUUUCAUAGUCAAAGCAUGCAAUGUCUCCCCCAAACUUAAAUAUCACAUUGUCCUUAAUGGAAAAAUAAAGAAUAGAAAGGCUUACGAAUACUUCCUUUUGACUAUGUGGGUGUAAGUUUGUUGUUGCUCCUGGUUAUUUGCUUGUAUGAUCAAUUCCUGCACAAAUCAAUGAAACAAAUAAGGGUUUUUUUUUAAAAAAAAUUUCUUUUUCAUUUUUUUUCUUUUUUGGGUUGCCUCCCAAUCAGCGCUUAGUUAUAGUCAUUAGCUUUACUUUUCCAUUUAUCUAAGAUGAAGUGAGAGGGAUAUCAUCCCUUUUCCCAAUAGACUCUCCAUUCCUAUAAUGCUUCAGACGCUGCCCAUUCACUGUGAAUGUUCCCUUUUCAUCAUGGGUGACCUCUACUGCUCCAUAAGGAAAUACCUUCACAACCGUAAAUGGUCCUGACCAUCGUGAUUUGAGCUUACCAGGAAACAAGCGGAGCCGUGAAUUGAAGAGUAAUACUUGUUGACCAGGGACAAACUCCUUGCGUACAAUGUGUUUGUCAUGCCAUGCCUUGGUUCUUUCCUUGUAUAUCUUGGCAUUUUCAUAGGACUCAUUGCGAAAUUCAUCCAUCUCAUUAAGUUGCAGGAUUCUUUUCUCACCUGCAACCUGCAAAUCCAUGUUCAGUUGUUUCAUUGCCCAGUAUGCCUUAUGCUCUAAUUCAACAGGAAUAUGACAUGCUUUUCCAAAAACUAAUCGAUACGGAGACAUUCCCAAUGGUGUUUUGAAUGCUGUCCGAUAUGCCCACAAUGCAUCAUCUAGCUUUCUUGCCCAAUCUUUCCGAGAAUUACUUACUGUUUUCUCUAAGAUUUGCUUCACCUCUCUAUUUGAUACCUCUGUUUGGCCAUUUGUCUGAGGAUGAUAAGCCAAUGCUCUUUUGUGUCUGACUCCAUACUUAGAUAACAGUGCUUCAAACUGCUUGUUGCAAAAAUGAGUUCCUUCAUCACUGAUGAUGGCUCGAGGAGUACCAAAUCUGGUAAAGAUGUUCUUUCGUAGAAAAUUAAGUACCACCUUGCCAUCAUUUGUAGGCGUUGCAAUUGCCUCGAUCCACUUUGAUACAUAAUCCACUGCUAAGAGAAUGUAUUUGUUGUUAUAGGAUGAAGGAAAAGGUCCCAUGAAAUCGAUGCCCCAAACAUCAAAUAAUUCAACUUCUAGGAUAUUCUGCAGUGGCAUUUCAUUUCGUCGAGAUAUAUUCCCAGUAUGCUGACAUCUAUCACAAGCAGUAACAAAAGCAUGAGCAUCUUUAAACAUAGUGGGCCAAUAAAAACCUGACUGCAAAACUUUGGCUGUAGUGCGUUGUGUUCCAAAGUGCCCCCCAUAUUCAAGUGUGUGGCAAUGCUUCAAUAUAUUUGUCAUUUCCUCUUCUGGAACACACCUCCUGAUGACUUGAUCUGCACAAUGCCGAUAGAGUAUCGGCUCCUCCCAGAAGUAGUGUUUGACUUCAGAAAAAAAUUUCUUCUUUUGCUGGUAAGAAAAAUCUGGCGGUAUGAUCUUACCUGCAAGAAAGUUGACAUAAUCUGCAUACCAAGGAAAGAAUUUGUUAGUGGAAAUUGCUAAGAGUCUUUCAUCAGGAAAACAUUCAUUUAUAACCGUGAAUUUAGGCUCCAGCUGCUGUGUCAAUUCCAGCCUUGAAAGAUGAUCUGCCACCACGUUCUCAGUCCCCUUUUUAUCUUUAAUUUCUACAUCAAAUUCUUGCAGUAAUAGGAUCCAACGGAUGAGUCUAGGCUUGGCAUCUUUCUUAGACACUAGGUGUCUAAUUGCAGCAUGAUCAGUAUACACCAGUACUUUGUUUCCCAUCAGGUAAGGCCGAAACUUAUCAAAUGCAUAGACCACAACAAGCAACUCUUUCUCGGUUGUGGCAUAAUUGAGCUGGGCAUCGUUGAGUGUUCUGCUGGCAUAGUAUAUGGUGUGAAACACAUUAUUUUUCCGUUGCCCCAGUACUGCUCCAACUGCAUAAUCACUUGCAUCACACAUAAGCUCAAAUGGUUUCUCCCAAUCCGGUGCAAUUACAAUAGGAGCUGUCACUAACUUCUUUUUCAACAGCAUAAAGGUUGUCUUGCAUUCCUCAUCAAACUGAAACUUUGUGUCUUUUAGCAGCAGACUGCAUAGCGGUUUGGAUAUUUUAGAGAAGUCUUUGAUGAACCUCCUAUAAAAUCCCGCAUGACCAAGGAAACUCCUAACCCCUUUUACUGUAGUUGGCGGCAGAAGCUUGUCUAUUGCCUCAAUUUUAGCUCUGUCUACCUCUAUUCCUUUUUCUGAAAUCCGGUGCCCCAAUACUAUACCUUCCUUUACCAUGAAGUGACAUUUUUCCCAGUUCAAUAUCAAGUUUGUCUUUUCACAACGCUCCAAAACCAACGCCAACUUUGCAAGGCAGUCAUCAAAAGAAGUUCCAAAUACAGAAAAGUCAUCCAUGAAGAUCUCAAUGAUUUGCUCCACCAUAUCUGAAAAAAUAGCCAUCAUGCACCUCUGAAAGGUAGCUGGUGCAUUACACAACCCAAAAGGCAUUCUUCUGAAAGCAAAAGUACCAUAAGGGCAGGUGAAAGUGGUCUUCUCUGGUCCUCAGGUGCGAUGGCUAUUUGGUUGUAUCCUGAAUAGCCAUCUAGGAAACAGUAGUAUUCAUGCCCAGCUAACCUGUCCAGCAUCUGAUCAAUGAAUGGUAGGGGGAAGUGAUCUUUGCGAGUUGCCUUGUUGAGCUUUCGAUAAUCCAUGCAAAUCCUCCAUCCAGUUACCGGUCUAGUAGGUAUCAAGUUGUUGUUUGCAUCCUUUACCACUGUCAUUCCUCCUUUCUUUGGCACAACUUGAACUGGGCUCACCCAUGAGCUGUCAGAGAUUGGAUAAAUAACACCAGCAUCUAACCAUUUCAGAACUUCUUUUCGGACUACCUCUUUCAUGGUCGGGUUAAGCCUUCUCUGAUGUUCUACUGUUGGCUUGACUUCAUCUUCCAACAGAAUUUUAUGCAUGCAAAUAGAGGGACUGAUGCCUUUGAUAUCUGCUAAUACCCACCCGAGAGCUGCCUUAUGUUUUCUCAACACCCUCAACAAUUUUUCUUCCUCUGUUUUGGUCAGCUUUGCAGAGAUUAUCACAGGAUAGGUGGAAGCUUCUCCAAGAUAUGCAUACCGAAGGUGUUCUGGCAGAGGUUGCAAUUCCAGAACCGGUGCUUGUUCACUGGUUGAUUUUAUUUUUGGUGCUGGUUGUCCCAAAUCUUCAAAGUAUCUUUUGUGGUUAGGUUCAAAAGAGUCCAUCCAACAUGAAUAUUCUGCUAUUUCAGCAUCCUCUUCCAGUACAUUAUUUACCAAACAUGCUUCCAACGGGUCGGUUGGAAGCUUAACUUUGUUGUUAAUUAAGGAGUCCACCACUUGAAUGCUGAAGCAACUCUCCCCUAUAUCUGGUUGUUUGAUGGCUUUGAACACAUUGAAAAUCACCUCCUCUUCAUUCACCCUUAACCGCAGCUCCCCUUUCUUCACAUCAAUUAACGCACCUCUAGUGGCCAAGAAUGGCCGGCCAAGCAAGAUAGGAAUCUCAUUAUCCUUCUCCAUAUCCAGUAUGAUAAAGUAUGCUAGAAAGAUGAACUUGCCCACUUUCACCAGUACAUCUUCAAUUAUUCCCCUUGGAUGCUUCAAUGACCUGUCAGCUAGCUGUAGUGUUACUGUGGUUGGCCUUGUUUCACCUAAACCAAGCUUCUUAAAAAUAGAUAAAGGCAUGAGAUUAAUACUUGCACCUAAAUCACAUAAAGCUUUUUCAAAUAUAGAAUUUCCAAUGGAACAUGGUAUAGUAAAACUCCCUGGAUCCUUAAGUUUAGGAGGCAGUUUCUUCUGCAAAAUAGCACUGCAUUCCUCAGUAAGAGCGACAGUCUCAUAUUCCUCUAGCUUUCUUUUGUUUGAGAGGAUGUCCUUCAGAAAUUUCACAUAGCUUGGCAUUUGUUCAAGAGCAUCUGCAAAAGGAAUGUUAAUCUGCAAUUUUUUAAACACAUCAAGAAAUUUAGAAAAUUGCUUAUCAAGUUUAUUCUUCUUGAGACGUUGUGGAAAUGGAAUUCUAUGCAUUAUUUCUUGCAUUGGUUCUGGCAGAGGAUCAGAUUUUUUCAUAUUCUGAAUUGGUUCGGCCAUUUGCUCCUCUACUUCUUUUUUUGCACUCUUGUUUCCAGCAGUCUGCUCCACUUCUUUUCCACUUCUUAAAGUUAUGGCCUUGCAUUGCUCCUUAGGAUUAAUUUCAGUUGUGCUUGGUAGAUUUCCUUGUUGUCUACCCGUGAGCAUGUUGGCUAACUGACCAACCUGAACCUCCAAAUUUCGAAUUGAGGCUGCUUGGUUCUGCAGAUUGGUAUUUGUUUCAGUCAUGAAUCUGCUGGUGUUGUUUGCUAAUUGUGUCAUAGCUUCUUCAAGUUUUGAUUUCUCUUUCAUGUGCUCACUUGAAGAUGGCAUGGCUGGAUUCUUCAUGACAGUUUGAUUGUUCCACGAGAAAUUAGGAUGAUUUCUCCAACCGGGAUUAUAUGUUGCACUGUAGGGGUUGUUCUGCCGGCUGUAUUUGACACAAAAUGAGCAUGCUCUGCUUGAGAGAAUGGGUUCCCAACCUGACACUCUUCACUGUGUGAUUUCCAUGCAAAAAUCACACGUUGUAUGGAUGGCAUUUGCUGACAGUUGAGUGGUUUUCAGUUGCUGAGUUAGUGAAUGGACUUGAGCUGUUAAUGUCGUGAUUGCAUCAAUUUCGUGCACCCCAACAGUCUUUUCUGUAUGCUUCUUUCAUUUGGCCAUUGGUAAUUGUUCAUAGCCAUUUCUUCCAAUAAGUUGUAAGCAUCAUCCUGUGACUUACUCAUAAAAGCUCCUCCUGAAGCUGCAUCAAUUAGUGUUCUUGUGGAGGCAUUCAAUCCAUUGUAAAAAUUUGCACCUGCAUCCACUUCGGUAGUCCAUGGUGGGGGCAUCGCCUGAGCAAAUCCUUGUAUCUCUCCCAUGCCUCAUACAAUGGUUCACUCUCAAGUUGGGCGAAGUUAGCUAUCUCAAUGCAUUUUUGCUGUCUUGGCUGGUGGAAAAAAUUUAGCAAGGAAUUUCUGAGCUAAAUCUUCCCAGCUGAUAACUGAAUCUGCAGGCAUGGAGUUUAACCAGUUCUUCGCUCUAUCUCGCAAGAAAAUGGAAACAAUCUGAGGCGAAUGGCAUCAUCAGUAACGCCAUUAUGCUUAAAUGUGUCGCAAAUUUCCAAGAAACUUGCAAUAUGGGCGUUAGGAUCAUCACUUGGCAACCCAUAAAACUGAACUGAGGUCUGAAUCAUCUGCAGUAUUGCUGGUUUGAUCUCAAAAUUAUUGGCCUCAAUCCUUGGUUUCCUGAUAACAGAACGGAUUCCUGUCACCUGUGGGAGAGCAAAAUCUCUCAAUGCCCGUGUAUCUUGCUCAGGAUUUUCAUUGUCUGCCAUGAUGCUGAACUGUUUGAGUCUCUCGUGUUUUCUUUCUUAAUCCCCUUGCAGUUCUCUCAAUCUCAGGAUUAUAAGGUAGCAACGGCUGUUUUUGUUGCUUCUCAUGCACUAGACACACACCUAAAGAGCUGAAGACAAAAGGCAAUCAAAUUAGAUCAAAUUUAAUUUAUAUUGAUAUUAUUAGUAAUUUUAUCUAAAAUCCCCGGCAACGGCGCCAAAAACUUGUUGGUUAAUUUGCAAGUGCACAAAUCGUAACAAGUAAUAAAGUGAUGAGUAGAGUAUCGUCCCACGAGGAUUUGUAAAAAUUACUACUAAUUACCAAAGUCUUUUAAAUUAUGAUCUAUUUGAGGAAUCGAAUAAGAUAGUUUAUGAAACAAAAAUUAAUGAUUAAAACAAACAACCAAUUGAUUAAAUAUUAAUGAAUUCAAUUGUACUGGUUCUAGGAUUUCUGACUUACCGUAACUAUGCCUAUGUGAACUUUCUCGAUUAAAUUAAUUACUCCUAAUGUUGAUAAUCAGGUUUUCUUAUGUAAAUAUUAAUCUCUCUCGAGCAUCAAUAAAUUAUUUCGACAAACAAAUUUCAUAUACUCUACGAAAGUUCUGAACUUGUCGAAAUUUAUUAAGUACUGUAAAACCUGUAACGAUUACAAAAGUUCUUAGGAUAUCUCUAUCCUAUAGAUUUCUUAACGGUAUUUCAAACAAUAGCUAAAACAAUUAUCACUUCUCAGUUUCAAAUUGAAUUCUAAAUCAUGCAGAUGUUGGCCAAACACACGCAAGCAUUACACAUAGAAUGAAAUACUCAACAUCUUAAUGUAAUAAUUCAAUCGAAGAAAUUGUUCACAUAAUCAUAGUAAGGUUACAUCAAAAAUCCCAGAAUAAAAGUCUACUCCAUAGUUAAAUUAAAGAGAAACAAACUUGAUACGAUGAACAUCACUCAAAAGCAGAGAAUUUCCGUCGAAAAGAUAGGUGUCCUCCGGUUUUUCAAUAGUUUUGCCUCUGCCCCUCUUUUGUUCCCUUGGUGCCGCCUCUCCUCUUUUUCUUUUCUAUGUUGUAGGGUUUCUGUUCGUCCUCUCUCCCCUUUUUCUUCUUUUAUAUUGUGGCUUUUCUACCCCUGCAGUAAUGAGGAAAGUUUCCUUUCUGCAUUAAAUUCCUUCCUACUCAGACAUUGCGGGCCCGAUUUGAGGUAGAAAACGUGCGAAUUAAAGAUCUCUAUUUCUGGAGAAAUUGUAGAGAAUCAAAUUUUCUUUCCAACAAAACUGAUCUUGCAAUUUUUGGACGUCUGAGUUGAGAUAAGGGCCAUAAACCGAACAGUCUUUGCAGUGCAGGAAUUUCGGGCUGGUUCAAUCCUUGUUUUUCAACUCGCUUUUUGGGCUUCGAAACAACAAAACUGAGUUAUAUGCCCUUCAUAUGUUUUGUAGACCUUCAUCUCAGCUAUUUGAAAAUGGUUACGAACAUCCGAAACUAAAUUGUAUAGUUUCUUUGCAGCACAUAAUGAAUCACUGUUCAGUUUCACUGCCCGGCUCUGCCUGUUCAGUAACCUAAGAUCUGAAAACACAUUAAUUUCCCACGAGGUCAAUAGUUCAAAAAGAGAUUCAAAAUUCUAAUUGUCUUGUGCAACACAUCCAAAAUAUUUAAAAAUCAAGCAUGAAUAGCAUAAAUUAUACAUGCUAAAAAUUCCCUUAUCAUUUUUUAUUCCACAAAAUCAAAUCAAUUGUUCAGAACACAAUAAGUAUGAAGAAAAAGCAAAGUAGUUUACACAGCAAGUUGAAGGAUUUGACUAGUGACACUGAUUGUGGAUCCAAAGUUCAAAAUAAAACAAAUCCCGAUCCAGAGUUCGAGUAAACAGAUCACCAAGUUAAUAUGUCAAUCAAUGGCAGAUCCAAUGUAUGCGUGCGUCGUAGCAUUCCGAAGGAUUCAAAUUGUAAAUGAAGGCCUACAAUUUGUAUAUUUUUCAAUAGGUAACCAAACACUAGUAUGAAUGCGUUAAGAGAGUUGUUAGAAAAUCAAAUGCUCGAACAAAUGACUUUCCAAGUCUAUGAAGAAAAAAGCAAAGUAACUUACAGAAAAAGUUGGAGAAACACCCCGUUCCACAAGCUUGAAGAAAAACAUUAACAGACUAAUGAAAAUAAUUAUGGGGCCCAAGAUCAAAUCAAUUGCUCAAACAAUAAUCAUAAUUUAUUUUAAUUUUGUUAAAUUUUUAUGUUAAAAAAUUUAUGUUGAAAAAUAAUUUUUAAUAUUAAAAAUAAACGGGGUUUGUUUUUUAUUUAACUUUAAAUAUAUCAAUUAAUCAUGUUUUAGAUAAUGUUUUCAUCAAAUAAUUCAAUAUUACAAGAUUAAGCUUAGUUAAUCAUGUAAGAAACCCAUGCAUGCUUCCAAUCUAUAUAUAUAUAUAUAUAUAUAUAUAUUAUAGGAUGAUGUUACAAGUACUGAGGGAGUAUUGUUACAGCUGUUAUGGUCGCUGUUAGUGUAGAUUAAUUAUGGUAGCUGGCAGAUGCAUGGACACGUGUUAGAAAUCAUUUCACUCCGUUAACAAAAAUUAAGGAAGUGUUAGUGCAGAUUACUUAGGGUAGGCGAUAUUGAUAUUUCAAAAGAGAUAUUCUAAAUAUUUCACAAGAAAUAAAAGAGUAUAACUAAAAUUAGAUAAUGAAAUGAAUUAAAAAAAUGAAAGAAAUUUACCUCAUAAAACAAAAAAAGAGAAAUUUACAUGGGAGUGAGAGAGGUAUGCAAUAACAUAUCAAAAUGAAAAGAAGCUUUAUGUUAAUUAAUGAAAGACAAAAAAGAAUUUUUUUUUGAGUAAAUGAGCUGUACGUAUGUAUUAUAUAUUAUAUUAAAAUAUAAUUUAACAAUAACUUUUCACUUUUUUCACUUUUUCGUGUAUCAAACUCUCAUUAACCUAUUAUAUUAAUAUUAUAAUAUUAAAAAUAUAUUUUCAAAAACUUUAAGGGGCAAUUGCUCCUUUUGUACUUACGUGGCUCCACCACUGAGUGCGGAUUAUUUAGGGUAGGCGAUAUUGAUAUUUCAAAAGAGAUAUUCUAAAUAUUUCACAAGAAAUAAAAAUGAGUAGGUGCAGUAAGAAGAAAUUAUUGAUAAUACAAAUCAUUUUCUAAUCUCUUCUGCCAUGUAUUUCAUAAGAUCAAAUCAAUUGUUCAUAUACAGCACCUGACUUCCCAAGUCUAUGAAGAAAAGCAAAGCAGUAAACAAGAAGUUGAAAUUGAUAUCCUUUAAUCCAACACCACAAACCGAGCGAUCUGUGCCGUGAAGACUCUCACAUUCAAUGAAGCCCAAGUCUCCCUUGGAUAAUUCAGCACAGAAAAUUCAAUGAUACAGAUAAUUGUCACUGUCCGAUCAAAUGCAUGAAGAGGACAAAAUUGUCUAUAAGAGACAGCUUGCUUGCUUUUGUAUUUUGUCAAGUAGGAGCGUUAAUAUGAAGAUGAGGCAAAUGUGGAUGUGGAUGCUGCUCAUGGCACUGGCCUUCGUCAACGAGCGGUGCCAUUGUUGUCUAGAGGAAGAGAGAAUUAGUCUCUUAGAGAUAAAAGCUGGGUUCAGUCAUGCACGUGCAGCUGUGUCCUAUGAUCCGCUAGAAGGUUGGGAUAAAGAGCAUUUUAAUUGCUGUAACUGGCAUAGGGUUGUGUGUGACAACACCACAAACCGAGUGAUCGAACUACAUCUUUAUAGCGUAAAUUAUGUAGUUUCUCGACUCAAUGCAUUCGAAGACUUCGAUCUCAAUGCGUCUUUGUUUCUGCCUUUCAAAGAACUGGAGAUUCUCGACUUAGGCUUCAACCAAUUAGUUGGUGGCUUAAAGAACCAAGGUUCUAUGCUUUCAGUUUUUUCUUUUAGUUAACACAUAAAGUUAAUUAUAUUUCAAGUAACUUUACAUUGAAUCUUUAUGGAUAUAGGGAUGAUUCAUAUAUAUAUAUAUAUAUAUAUAUAUAUAUAUAUAUAUAUAUAUAUAUGUCUGUCAUGUUAAUUUCUUUGCUCUAACAAUCUUCUUUCAGGUUUUCAAGUGCUUGCUUCAGGGUUGAGGAAUUUGAAGAAACUUGAUCUGACAGGCAAUAGAUUUAACGAUAGCAUUUUAUCAUCUCUCAGUGGAUUUUCAACUCUCAAAUCUCUAGAUCUAUCAAGCAAUAGGUUCACAGGAUCAAUUGGUCUCAAUGGUAAAGUUGUAAAUCAUUCCUACCUCAGAUGACAUUACCUAGUAAGGUUUAAUAAUUACAUGUGUAUUAACUCUUAAGUUGUUUGGAUGAAACCUUAAAAAGGCUUUAUAUAAUUAAUUCUUUAACGAGUGAAAUAAUUUGAAACUUACAUAUACACGCUAUUAACUUUUGUUCAAUUUUUUUUUUAAUUUUUUUUAAUAAAUGAAGGUGAAUAAUUAAUUAAUUAAAUUUUAAUAUUAUAUUAAAAUUAUUUGAAUUUAAAAACUUAAGCUAUGUCUUGUAUAUUAACUCUAACAUUAUAAGUUUAUUUAAUUAUUGUAAAUCAUUAUUAUUGAUUGUUCUCUCUAUCACAGGUUUAAGGAAUUAUUUGAAUUUAAAAACUUAAGCUAUGUCUUGUAUAUUAACUCUAACAUUAUAAGUUUAUUUAAUUAUUGUAAAUCAUUAUUAUUGAUUGUUCUCUCUAUCACAGGUUUAAGGAAUUUAGAAAUCUUGAAUCUGGUAAACACUGACUUCAAGGAAAGCAUUUUGAUAGAGUCAUUGGGAGCGUUGCCAUCCCUCAAGACCUUAUAUGCCGGUGAUAGUAAUUUUAAACACUUUGGGAAAGGUUAGUGACAGUUUAAUUUGGUGCCUAAAACAAUAUGAUAUUUAUAAUUUAUUGAUGGAUUUAUCUGAUCUGUACCACAGGGUUGUGGAAUUCGUCUAGCCUUGAAAAAGUGUUCCUCAAUUAUUCUUCUCUCCCAGCAAACUUUUUUAGGAACAUUGGACCCUUGUCUACUCUUAAAGUACUAUCUUUGACCGGAGUUGACUUCAAUAGCACCCUAUUUGAUCAAGGUAAUUCUACAAAUGAACAAUUAUAAGAGUAUUGAAAUCCAAAUAACAGUUGUUCACUAGAAGUUUAUAGAAAAGUAUAAAAUCUAGAGUUUCUCAAUCUCUAAAUUUUCUCAGUUUUAAAUUUAGGGUAGUUGGCAGAUGCAUGAACACGUGUUAGAAGUUGUUAAGAGAUGGUUAGAGUUAGUUAACAAUAUAAUAAAUCGUGUAAUAUAUGUGGGGAAGUAUAUAUAUAAUGGUAGGAGGUUUACGCACGCAAGAAAUAAUAGAAUCAUUCCUCUGUUUUUCCUUCUGCUUAACAGAUGAUUAUAUUACAAUACACAAAAUGGAUACUUCCACUUUAUAUGUGAUACGUUAGAAUUCAUGAAUAUUUGGUUAUUAAAAUAUUAAUAUAAUGUCAAAAAAUUAACACACAAUUUAUAUAUUGAUAUAUGUGAUACUUCUUAAUUUCUUUGCUUUCGACAAAUUUCUUUCAGGUUUUCAAGUGCUAGCUUCAAGGUUGAGGAAUUUGGAGGAACUUGAUCUAAGUUACAAUCAAUUUAACGACAGUAUUUUAUCAUCUCUCAGUGUAUUUUCAACUCUCAAAUCUCUAGAUCUAUCAAGCAAUAGGUUCACAGGAUCAACUGGUCUUAAUGGUAAAGUUGUAAUCAUUCCUCCCUCGGAUGGCAUUCCUUAGUGAGGCUUAAUUUAUUCUUUAGUGAAUUUGUCUAAUAAAUAGAUGUGUAUUAACCAUUAACUUUUGUUCAAUUUUUAAAAUUUUAUUAAAGGAUCAACUAGUUAGAAUUUAUAUGUGAUAUGUUAGAAUUCAUGAAUAUUUGGUUAUUAAAAUAUUGAUAUAAUGUCAAAAAAUUAACACACAAUUUAUAUAUUGAUAUAUGUGAUACUUCUUAAUUUCUUUGCUUUCGAUAAAUUUCUUUCAGGUUUUCAAGUGCUAGCUUCAGGGUUGAGGAAUUUGGAGGAACUUGAUCUAAGUUACAAUCAAUUUAACGAUAGUAUUUUAUCAUCUCUCAGUGUAUUUUCAACUCUCAAAUCUCUAGAUCUAUCAGGCAAUAGGUUCACAGGAUCAACUGGUCUUAAUGGUAAAGUUGUAAAUCAUUCCUCCCUCGGAUGACAUUCCUUAGUGAGACUUAAUUUAUUCUUUAGUGAAUUUGUCUAAUAAAUAGAUGUGUAUUAACCAUUAACUUUUGUUCAAUUUUUAAAAUUUUAUUAAAGGAUCAACUAGUUAGAAUUUAUAUGUGAUAUGUUAGAAUUCAUGAAUAUUUGGUUAUUAAAAUAUUGAUAUAAUAUCAAAAAAUUAACACAUAAAUUUAUAUUUCAUUGAAUAUAUAUAUGUUAAUUUCUUUGCUUCCAACAAUUUUCUUUCAGGUUUUCAAGUGCUAGCUUCAGGGUUGAGGAAUUUGGAGAAACUUGGUCUGAAUUAUAAUAAAGAUUUGAACGACGGAAUUUUUUCAUCUCUCAGUGGUUUUUCAUCUCUCAAAUCUCUAGAUCUAUCAGGCAAUAGGUUCACAGGAUCAACUGGUCUCAAUGGUAAAGUUGUAAAUCAUUCCUACCUCAGAUGACAUUCCCUAGUAAGAUUUAAUAAUUACAUGUGUAUUAACCCUUAAGUUGUUUGGAUGAAACCUUAAAAAGGCUUUAUAUAAUUAAUUUUUUAACGAGUGAAAUAAUUUGAAACUUACAUAUACACGCUAUUAACUUUUUUUCAAUUUUUUAAUUUUUUUUUUAAGUAAAUGAAGGUGAACAUUUAAUUAAUAAAAUUUUAAUAUUAUAUUAAAAAUUAUUUUAAUUUAAAAAAUUAAGCUAUGUCUUGUAUAUUAACUCUAACAUUAUAAAUUAUUUAAUUAUUGUAAAUCAUUAUUAUUGAUUGUUCUCUCUAUCACAGGUUUAAGGAAUUUAGAAAUCUUGAAUCUGGCAUACACUGACUUCAACGAAAGCAUUUUGUUGGGAGCGUUGCCAUCCCUCAAGACCUUAUAUGCCAGUGGUAGUAAAUUUAAACACUUUGGGAAAGGUCAGUGAUAGUUUAAUUUGGUGCCUAAAACAAUAUGAUAUUUAUAAUAUAUUGAUGGAUUUAUUUGAUCUAUGCCACAGGGUUGUGGAAUUCGACUAGCCUUGAAGAAGUGUUACUCGAUGAUUCUUCUCUCCCAUCAAGCUUUCUUCAAAACAUUGGACCCUUGUCUACUCUUACAGUCUUAUCAUUGAUCGGAGUUGACUUUAAUAGCACCCUACCUGCGGAAGGUAAUUCAUUAGAUAUUUUUGUUAUAUCUAUGUUUUAUUAAACUAGAAAUUUACUUCUAAUGUUACGUAUAAAAAAGGACAAAAUCUAGAGUUUCUCAAUCUCUAAAAUUUCUCAGUCUUAAAUUUAGAGUAGCUGGCAGAUGCAUGGACACGUGUUAGAAGUUGUUAAGAGUCGGGUAGAGUUAGUUAACAAUAUAAUAAAUCAUGUAAUGCAUGUGAGGAAGAGUGUAUAUAAUGGUAGGAGGAUUAAGCACGCAAGAAAUAACAGAAUCAUUCCUCUGUUUUCCUUCUGCUUAAUAGAUGAUUAUAUUACAAUACACAAAAUAGAUACUUCCACUCUAUCCUUCUUGACCAAAAAUGCAUAAAAACCAUCCCUCAAGACACAAAAUGGAUACUAAUUUAAGUCAAUAUUGAAAGGAAUGGAUAAUGUGUACCACCACUAUUUUCAUCGUACCUUUUCUUCUUUCUUUUUCACAUGGACUUUCUUCAAUUCGAGAUAUUAUUGAUAUAUUACAUAAUUGAUAUAUUACAUAUGGAUAUAUUCUACAGGCUGGUGUGAGCUGAAGAAUCUUGAACAACUAUUUCUCUUACAAAACAAUCUAAAGGGCGUACUCCCUCCUUGUUUUGGAAAUCUAUCAUUUCUACAAUUCUUGGAUUUAUCUGACAAUCAAUUGGAGGGAAAUAUUGCCUCUAGUCACCUUUCCCAUCUUACGCAACUUGAAUACUUCUCAGUUUCAAAUAACUACUUUCAAGUUCCAAUAACAUUUGGUUCAUUUAUGAACCUCUCCAACCUCAAGUUCAUUGCAUGCGAUAACAAUGAGCUAAUACCUGUACCCAGUUUUCAGCCUUCAGCUCCCAAGUUCCAGCUUCUUUACUUCAGUGCUUCAAACUGUACUUCAAAACCACUCAAGGCUGGAUUUCCAAACUUCCUGCAUAGCCAACAUGAUUUGGUGUUUGUUGAUCUAUCCCACAACAAAUUCGUUGGAGAACCUUUCCCAUCUUGGCUGUUUGAGAAUAAUAGAAAGUUAAAUCGACUAUAUUUGAGAGACACCUCAUCUAUAGGUCCUUUGCAGCUGCCACAACAUCCAACACCCAACCUUCAGACAGUAGAUAUGUCUGGCAACAACAUACAUGGUCAAGUUGCAAGGAACAUAUGUUUGAUUUUUCCACGUUUGAAGAACUUCAUGAUGGCUAACAACAGCCUCACAGGUUGCAUUCCUCCUUGUUUUGGGAAUAUGAGCUCUCUCAAAUACUUGGAUCUUUCCAACAAUCAGAUGUCUUGUGAACUGCUUGAGCAUAAUUUUCCAACAGUAGGCUCCUCGUUGUCGUUUUUGAAGCUGUCCAACAACAACUUCAGUGGGCGAUUACCACCAUCUGUGUUCAACAUGACUCACCUAGACUACCUCUUUCUCGAUGGAAACAAAUUUGUAGGACAAGUAUCAGGUACUUUGUCUCUUGAAUCAUCACUUUUCUGGUUGGAUAUCAGUAACAAUCUUUUGUCAGGCAUGCUUCCAAGGGGAAUUGGAAACUCUUCAAUAAACCAAUUUGCUCAAGCAAUUGAUUUGUCCAGAAAUCAGUUUGAAGGUACCAUUCCAAUAGAAUAUUUCAAUUCUUAUGGGAUUGAAUUUUUAGAUCUUUCUGAAAACAAUCUGUCUGGGACAUUACCGUUGGGCUUCAAUGCACCAUAUUUACGCUAUGUCCACCUUUAUAGAAAUCAAUUGAGCGGUCCACUGCCAAAAGCUUUUUAUAAUAGCUCUCAUUUGGUGACAUUAGAUCUCGGCGAUAACAACUUAACUGGGCCCAUUCCAAAUUGGAUUGAUAGCCUUUCAGAAUUGAGCAUUUUUGUUCUCAAAUCUAAUCAAUUCAAUGGGAUACUUCCUCAUCAGUUAUGCUUGUUAAGGAAAUUAAGCAUAUUGGAUCUUUCACAAAAUAACUUUUCUGGUCCGUUACCCUCAUGUUUGAGCAAUUUAAAUUUUACAGCAUCAGAUGAAAAAACUUUGGUUGUCACUGAUACGGAGUCAGAAAAUGAUGGAAGCCGGAAAGAAAUAUUUGCAUCCAUAGGGGGAAGAGACUUGAAGAACAAAGGUUUUUAUCUUAAUGACAAAGUUUUGUUGCCAGAGAUCAGUGUAAAUAUAUCUGUAGAGCUUACAGCAAAGAAAAAUUUCUACACUUACGAAGGUGAUAUCCUUCGUUACAUGUCUGCUGUGGAUCUCUCUUGUAACAGAUUCACUGGAGAAAUCCCGACAGAAUGGCGAAAAUUAAGUGGGAUAUUUGCUCUAAAUCUGUCACAAAAUAAUCUCACUGGAUUGAUCCCUCCAUCUUUCUCCAAUCUGAAGCAGAUAGAGAGCUUGGAUCUUUCUCACAACAACUUGAAUGGGAGAAUUCCAGAACAACUCGUUGAACUGAAAUUUCUAGAAGUUUUCAACGUGUCGUACAAUAAUUUGUCAGGAAGAACACCGGAGAUGAAAUAUCAAUUUUCUACCUUUGAUGAUAGCAGUUAUAAAGGGAAUCCUCUUCUUUGUGGACCUCCAUUGCAAAACAGUUGCGACAAAACAGAAUCACCAUCAGCGAGAGUGCCUAACGAUUUCAAUGGAGAUAGUGGCUUUAUAGACAUGGACAGUUUCUAUGCCAGCUUUGGUGUGUUUUACAUAAUUGUGGUGUUGACAAUUGUAGCAGUACUGUGCGUAAAUCCGCAUUGGCGACGCAGGUGGUUUUACUUCAUUGAAGAAUGCAUCGACACUUGCUACUGCUUUUUGGCUAUAAACUUUCGCAAGUUGUCCAGAUUCAAAGGUGAUUGGGUCUUAUCAUGAGCGUGUGGGCUGCUUUC